UCUUAUCCGCUUAAAGUAUUAAAGUCUAACCCAACAACUAAUGUUUAAUUUGUCCAAAAGUUGUAACGGAUAGGAAACUAGUUGAAUAGAUUUGCCCAUUUGACAAUCUUCUCUACCUCUCAACUAACAUUUUCUUGCUUCUUCAUUGCCUUUUGCAGUAUCUUUUCUUGCUCUUUAGUAAAAAAAAAAAAAAAAAAAGUACUCAAAUCCAACAAGAACUCAUCUUUCUUUAUACCCUAAUCAAGAUCAUCGCUAAGAAAUGGACUUUUCCUACUAUUUUUCUUUGAAGCACUUUUGGGAGAACACCAAAAACAACUUUUUCUCUGCGGUGGAGACAACGAAGAAGAAGGUGAAUCCAUCCAUGAACUUGGAGAACUGAACGGCGAAGAAAAUGUCUUGGAUUUCAACUUCAAUUUUGAUUUCGAGGAAACAGUGACGACAUGAACAGAAGCAAAAGCAGACCUUAUAGAAUUUUCUUUAGAAUCAAUUUUUCGAUCUGGGUUCUAUUUGGACUCCAAGAAAAUGGCCAAGGGAGGAGAAGAAUCACAACUAGAAACUGAUUUUGCAGUCUCCAAGCCGGGUUUCCCAUCUGGGUUUUGUUUGGAAUCGAAUAAAAUCUCUAUCUUUGAAGUUGGAUUUGAAUGAUGAUAAUGAUGUGAUGAGAUGUGUCUGUUUUUCAAUGUGAUGAUGAUGAUUAUCAUUGAUGUGGGUUUUGGGUUUAGUAGGAAGGACUAAGUCGUCAGUGAAACCAGAACAAUUGAUAACAGAGACAACCAACUGAAGAAGGUGUCCCUGCAUCGACUUUUUUUAGUGAUCGAUCUCCAAGCGCUUAAAUUAGCUCCAUUUUAUUUUUGUUAUGUUUACCUAGCAUAUACUUAUUGGCCAACUCGUCAUAUCACUAACAAUAUCUUAUGUUAAACGUAAUUUAGAUAGAUCCUUUAUUAUAAUUCUUUUUGUUAUAGGGUAAUCUCGGCCAUACGUUGCCUAAGGGUUUAGACAAUGCAAUUUAUUAUAAUUCUUUUUGUUCGAUUGCACACCUUUUCCUUUUGCUCCAUUCAUCAAUGGGAACAGGUGCUAGCUUGAAUAAUUUUACUCGAAUAAUUUUAUACAUAUACGUUUACUCGAAGAGUUAGCAAAGGCAAGAAAAAAAUGCACGAAAUUAUUAAAACGAAAAAUAUUGAAUUACAAAACAGAAAUUUUAUGCAACUUUUGUGCAAAUUUCAUUAUUGUUUUGACUAUCCCAACUGAGCCAUGCAUCCUCUUUUAAAUGACUCAACCAAAUUGUCCAAUGCAACACGAGAUGACCCACCAUCCCUCAUCGCUGCUGCAGCUGCUUCUUUCAUUUCAACCACACGUUCCUUAACAGCUCUGCCUUUCUCCGAGUCCAUCAACUCACUAACUCGCUGCUCCAACUCGGCUGCACUCACCAACCUUUCUUCUUCUUCUGACCGAGUCACCGCCAAACCCACCUUCAUUUCCUCCACAACGACCGCUUUAAUCAUCUUUUGCUCCGCAUACAGAGGCCAAGCCAACAUUGGCACCCCGGCACAAACACCUUCAAGCACCGAGUUCCACCCGCAGUGAGUCACAAACCCGCCAACUGACUCAUGAUUCAGUACCUCCACUUGCGGCGCCCACGAUUCAACCACGAGCCCCCUAUCUUUUGUUCUAUCCAAGAACCCUUCAGGUAAAAGAGACUCCAAUGAGCUUCGGUUCUCGACGCUGUCGGGAGCUGGAGCUCUCACGACCCAAAGAAACUUAACACCACUUCUCUCCAACCCAAUGGCCAUUUCUUUUAACUGCUUACAAGAGAACGAUCCCAAGCUUCCGAAACAAAGAAGCAGGACGCUUCGACUCGGUUUCGAAUCAAGCCAACUCAAUGAUUCAUGUCGAUCACGUCCUCGAUUCUCUCCAUUUCCUCCACCAACCACAGGCCCUAUGCAAUAGAAAGGCGGCAACGUCUCCCCUGGAGUGCAUUGUCCUUCUAGCAUUGCUUUGAUAGCUCUCUCUUCGAGCAAUUCAAAUGUGUUUACAAUAAGCCCCGCAGAUUUUGCCAUCUGGAUGCCGGUGUCGACAAAGCCCUUGUAUGCUUUACCCUCACGAUCAUGCAUGGGUUCCGCCAUGUCUCUUGCUGGAAAAGGCGGUAAUCCGGGGUAAUUUAAAAGCGUGCUGCCGAGUUCUCUGAAGCUCUUUGUGGUGUUUUUAUGAAGAGUUGGUAAGUAGAGGAGAGCAGCGAGUCCGCUCCCUCCGGAGGUGAAGUAAUAGUAAGUAGGGAUACUGAGAGUACUUGAGGAAACUUGAAACGCGGGGCUGCAAAAGAAAUCGAUAACAAAGGCUUUGAGGUUUGAGCGUUUGGAAAUUGUUAUUAGGGUUUCGUGGAGUUUAGGGUUGUUGAGCUCGCCAAGCUCGUACGCUAAGGCUGGGAGGUCAACUGGUGAACGUAAAGUGUCGAGUAGGCCGGAAACCGGAGGAGGGAGCUGGUGGAAGGUAACGGAGGGAACUGUGGCGGAGACGGAGGCGAUGUAAUCAUCGGUACCGGCGCUUGUUACGAACGGGGCGGUGGGGAUUAUGAUGUCGAUGGAGAAGCAAGGGUGAUACGUGAGUAUCAAUUUUCCUAAUUCAACCAUGGAGUUUAAGUGACCUCUUCCUGGAGAAGUAUAAAGGACGAUCGUAUCUUUCAUUGUUUUAAUCUUUAAUUUUACAAGUUAAAAUAAAAAAAACAGGAGAAAUGGUGAGAAAUUAUAGUGAGAGAGAAUGAGAGUGAUAAAGGGCUCCUUUGUGUUUGCUAAUCGCAAUGCAAUUAUGUAUCCACACCCAUGAGAAUGAGAGUGUAUCCACACCCACGACGAAACACCGGAAGCCUGUUGGUCACAGGGUUAAGAGGGCAGAAUUGUUGGUUGAAGUAAAGAGGAGGAUUUUGGGGAAACUCAACUCGGCUUCAAUCCCUUGUCUAACUUGUGGACUGAAUUAUUUAUAAAAAGGAGAAGGAAUUGCGUGUUGAGGAUCUGCUAUCACUUGUUUGACAGGUAUUGGGCCCAUCAGACAAUCACACUAUCACAGUAUGCUGACAUAAUUGACCUGACAUAUAUUCUAGCCCACACAGUACAACUUAACAUUUAUUUUAGCGGAUCCCCCUUAGUAAGCUACAGCUGGCUUGUCUUUUCAUUUCUGACCUGUUUGCUACAAAAUACCGUUUAGCCCCUUGAACUCUAUAUUAUUUAUAAUUUAUUCAUAAGUAUAUGAAACUUUCUCUAUUAUAAAAUUUUGUUGAGACCCUUACACUCUAUUUUAUUUUAUUGAAACCCUUAGAUUAGAGUAUCAAAUUAGCCACUUAUAAUUUUUAAAUUUUCAAAAUAUCCUCCAUUUAAUUAAAAAAUAUAAUAAUUAUUAAAUGAAUUAUAAUUACUGCUGUACGGCCAAGGCGGAUGUACGGUACAGCAGAUACNNNNNNNNNNNNNNNNAGUAUAAUUAUUUAAUCUAUUAACAAAAAUUAAUAAUAUUUUUUUAGUUAAAUUGUUAAUAAUAAUUAUUAACAAUCAUUAUUAUUAUUAUUAUUAAUUUUUGAAUAAUAAUAAUAAUCACAAUAAUUAAAAUAUAAAAUAAUUAUUAUGAUAAAAUUAAUUAAGGAUUUUAUAAUAAUUUGUUACAAUUUAACUCAUUUCGAUUUUGAUUCUAAGACAAAGUAAACACAUAAAUGAUAAUACAACUCAUUCUAAUUACAAUUCCUGCAGUUCAAGUAAAUAAAUUAUUCUUAUUCUGAUUCUAAUUCGUCAUUUCAAUUUUAUCUAUUGAGUUUCUAACUCAUUAUGUUUCUAGGUAAUUUUUAUUCUUAUUUAGUUAAUGCACUAUAAAAUUUUAAAUAUUUCAUAUUAAUUCCUAUUUACUAAAUAGGAAUCGAAAUUAGAGUGGUUUGGACCUCACAAGUCACACCACCCACCUUUUAAAGCCGAGAAAAUCUUUAGUUUGUGUAAUUAGAGAAGGAAAGGAAUUAUUGAAUAAUCUUUGAAUUUCAAGAAAUUGCAAAUGUGUAAAUUACAAAACUCCUUUAGAUGGAUGUUGUAACAUCUUCAUGGAAUAUUCCUGCGUAUAAUAAGUAGAUCAUUUUUGUGAAACGACAGUGCCAAAAUCAAGAUCAAAAUAUCAUUAAUUUGAGGGGGCCAAAAUUAAACUUUGUAUACAAAUGGGUAAAAUUUCAGUUAAAUAUAUUAUCUUAUCUUUUAAGAAAUUCUAGACAUCAACAUAGUUCUGCACCACAUAAUACAUCAUUGACUAUAUAUACACAAAAUUUUCAAUAUAAAAUUUUAAAAUGCGAGAAAAUCUUAAAAAAUUUUUAAACCGCAGCUCUCUCUCUCUACAUACAUACAUACAUAUAUAUAGUGUCGGAACGCAUCUGCCAUUACGCAUAUAUAUCAUUUUCAUUGUCCUGGACCAAAUUCUGCAUUUUGGACACUCAUUUAUUUUUCACGAACGUCGAAGAGUCAAAAAGAGAGAACGAGAGAGGGAAAAAAUGCAUGUACUUUGAUUAUUACUUCGUGAAGACUAGGCAAAGCAAUUGGUGUUGGCAAAGCCCAUAUUAAUUUUUAGUUGCUAUCUUCUCCAAUAAUUUAAACUCGUAUGGUUGAAUAAAUGAGCAGUUACACAUAUUAUAAAAGUCACAAGAUAAUUCUCAAGAAUUUUGAUGAUUAUGUAGAAGAUUUUCUCAAUUAAGACAAUGGAAACCACUAUGAGCUAAAAUCAAUAUGUCAUUAUGACCAUUCAUAUACGGCAAGUACUUGUUAUUGCCAUUAUAAAUUGCACAUAAGGAAAACAUCGCGACCGUCAUGAAAUGAUAUGUCAUCCGAUUGAAAAUUUCUAAAAUGUUGUGAUGAACAUAAAUUUUAUAAAUUAUAUAUAAGACUAUAAAAUAAAAUGUGAAAAUAAGUAAAUUAAUAAAAAAAUUAUUAACUGUUAUAAAAUUAACCAGGUUCUACAAAAUUUUAGUGAAAAAUAAUUUAUUCAUUUGUUUUAGUUAAACAAAGAAAAAUCGCUCAUCAAUUAGAAACAAAAAUUUGUACUGAAAACAAGUGUAAUAAAUUCAAUUGAAUUGUUUUAACUAUAAAUUUUAUAUUCAUUUCAUGACAUUUACAAAACUUUUUUUAUUUAAUUUUCUAUAAUAGUAGUUGUUUACUACACAAGUUAAUUAAGCAAAAUUAUUUAGCUUGAUGUAGAUUAAGUCAAAAUAAAAUUAACAAUAUAUUCUAUUAUUACUAGACACAUAUAUGAUAUAUCAAUAAAAUUAGAUUUAAUUUUGAGUCUUACAUCAUAUUCAUAGAAAUCUAUAUAACACUUUUUUUAAAAAAAAUAACUUUUAAUAAAUCAUUAUGAGUGUAUAAAUGUCAUUGUGAAUGUCAAAACUAAUAAAAUAGUCCAUUUAAUAAUAAAAGUUAACGAAUGUGGGUGCAUUUAUCCACGAGGGGUGUAUUUUGUUCUUUUUGUAAAAAUUUGGAGUUGUAUGUCUUAUUAUCCAAAAUAAAAUGAUAAUUAAUUAAAAAGAAUAUAUAGUAAAUUCUUUUAAAUUUUUUUCCAAGUCGACUGAAGACUUGUACGUUAAGAUGAACGAAGUAUAUUGGCAUAGGUCCCUGGGUUUCAUAUACAACUAUACAGAUAUAUCAUAUAUGUAUAUUCAUAGCGGAUCAAAUAAAAUUACAAUGCAAUCCAAGUGGCUCCUUUUGCUUACACAAGUAGCUUUAUUUUCUGUGAUUUCGUUACAGUUGGCGCCAAGAGUUGCAGAUUGUUCUAACAACACAACAAUAAGGUGCAUAGAUGAGUAAAGAGAAGCACUCCUCACUUUCAAACAUAGCGUGGUGGACGAACAUGGCAUUCUGUCUUCCUGGGGAAGUGAAGAUAACAAAAGAGAUUGCAGUGAAUGGAUAGGAGUCCUCUGUAGAAACAAAACGCGCCACGUAUACGCUCUUGAUCUUCAUCAACACGGGGCUCUAAAACUGAAAGGUAAAAUAUUAAGCCUUCUUUGCGUAAAUUGCAACAUUUAACUUAUUUGGACCUCAGUUUCAAUGAUUUCAGUGGAAUUCUGAUUGCUGACUGUUAAGGAAGCACACAAUGUGUGGAAGCAUUCUGCACACGUGUGAGUGGAAUCCAGUCAGCUGAAUUGGUUGAAGAAUGUAAUGCCAGCUCAGCAGAAGUUAGUUAAGCACACUAAGUUUCUGUUUCAGUUUGUUUUUCUCUUCUGUUAACUGCAAAUGAACUGAAUAUAAAUAAGUGCAUUUUGUAAUCAUUCUGUAAUUAGAGAAAAAGAAAUAAAUAUGAAAUUCUAGAAGCCUCUUUAUAAUUUUCUUAGCAAUCAAAACAUAUUUUCUUAGUAACCAAACAGAUUGAUCGUUGAAGUUUCAAGGCUUCAUACUCAUCCCUCAUGGCUUGAUGCCAAUUCUAAUCACUAAGAGCAAUCAAAACAUAUUUUCUUAUUUAGACCUUUGGUUUGAAGAUUCCAAACUUUGAUCUGGUAAUGAUUGGAUGAGAGGAUUGUGGGGGAAGAUUUCUGGUUUGAUUCUGAUAUGUGUUUUGUGGAAUAGAUGGUUGUGUUGGUAAUGUAUUUGGUUCAGUUUGUGGUUGUGUUGAUAAUGUAUUUGGUGAUGGUGAGGUUGAAGAUGACAAUUCUGAGAGUGUGUGUGGUGAAUGUUCCUGUUGAUUCAGAUUAUUUGUAUGUGUAGGAAUAGAAGACAUUUGUUCAUUCCUUGCUGAUCCCGAACCAGAAAGUGCGGGAAACGUCAAAGAAAACUUUAAAACCGCGAGGUUUAAAAGGCUUAAAACUUAAAGCGCUUAAACCACACAGUUUAUGUGUUUUCCCAGACGUUCCCGUGCUUUAAAAUUCUGGACUGGAACAUUUUUCAUAUAUAUAUAUGUCCUCAUGUCUGAUUAAGAUCCUCACAUGGUCUAAUGUGCUUCUGAGCAAAAUUCACUCAAAUUAACAAUUUUAUUUCUAGUUUAAAUAUUAUGAAAUGGGCCCUUUAACUUUAUGAGGAUCAGGUUAUGGCAUCCUUUUAUUUGUUGUUUAUCAAGUAUAACUGUCGAUUAUCAAACCAAAAUAAAAAUAAUAACGAUUUUUAUCCAAAAGAAAGUCCAGUCCGAGCUACUAAUCUUUCCUUGCAAAUUACCGAGAAUUGAUUUAAGUGCAUCAAGGCCUUUUCCUUCAAUCGCUUAAUAUUACUGAUUUCUAGCCCAUUAUCCUUGUUGUUUGAAACUAGUGUUCACAUUUCCAAUUUAUUGGGGGUUGAUAGAACUUUUGAUUUUGCAAGUGAAAAUCACCAUCUAUCAUGCCUUGUGCUGGUAAAAAUAAGCAUAUCUAAGAGCUUACUUUUUCAUUUGAUAGGAAUCCGAUUAAUCUGGUAUUUAAGUAGGUAACUUCCAAUAAUUAGAAAUUACUCUGUCUCUUCAAUAGAUACCAAUGAUUCAACGAGGUAAUGCUUGGGGUGUAUAGUGUUAUGACCAAAUAUACUUGAGCAAAGGUCGUUUCCUCAUUGUCGAGGAGCUGUCUGAUAUCUGUUAAGAUAUUUGAAUUGGUUAAUUACAGUUAGCUUAGCUUUCUGUUUAGUUAGUUAAGUGAAAUUGUUAGUAGUGCUGAUGUGGCAGUCCAGUCAGCUGAAUUUGUUAUGAUCGUUAGCUUUAAACAAACACAUUGCUCAUGUGCAGAGUGUAGAAGAUUCUAUAUAGACUCAUGUAUAAAUACUUGUAAUCCUGCUCAUUGGAGCUUAAGAUCAAUACAACGUUUUCACUCUGUUUUCUCUCUCAUUUUCUCUGCAACCAAACAACUCUUUUAUCUUUACAUGGUAUCAGAGCCAAAUUUGUAAGCUGAAAAAUGGCCUUAGCUCAUUCUAAUCAAAACGCAGUAACCUCUAUUUCUUCAUUUACGUUCACAUCACCAAUUAAACUCGAUUGAUCGAAUUAUACAAUCUGGAAGUCUCAGAUCCUUUUUUCAGUUCGUGCUAAUGGACUUGAAGAUCUUCUUGAUAGUUCAAAGUGCUAUCCAUAUCAAUUUCUUCCUCAAGAUUCUGAAGACUCAACUGAAACUCAGAUUAAUCCAGCCUUCACCGCUUGGAAGAGGAAGGAUCAAAUGCUGCUGAGCUGGUUGAUGUCAUCUAUUAAUCUCGAGAUUCUCAGCCUUGUGGUAAAUUCUGAAACCUCUCUUGAUCUGUGGAUAAGUCUUGAGCAGCAGUUUGGAUCUGAAACAUUUACUAAAAAGGUUCACCUAAAGAUAAUGCUUAACAAUCUGAAAAAAGGAUCAAUGUCUAUGACUGAUUUCUUUGGGAAACUAAAAUUGAUAACUGAUGAAUUAGCCAUUGCUGGAAAUCCUAUCAGCUCUUUAGAUUUCAUUACUCACCNNNNNNNNNNNNNNNNNNNNNNNNNNNNNNNNNNNNNNNNNNNNNNNNNNNNNNNNNNNNNNNNNNNNNNNNNNNNNNNNNNNNNNNNNNNNNNNNNNNNNNNNNNNNNNNNNNNNNNNNNNNNNNNNNNNNNNNNNNAUAAAGUUCAAAAUAUAUCUUACAUUAAUAUUGAUCCAUUACAAAGUCACAUUCAAAAUAUAAAUUAUUAAAAUAAUUAUCUUUGUCAAUGACUCCUGCUGUACCGUACAUCCGCCUUGGCCGUACAGCAGUUAUACACAAGGUCAGGGGAGAGGUAAUUGGAAUAAUAAUUGGAGUGAUAAUGGUAUGCAAACUGGAAACUAUCAAGGAAGAGGAUCAUUUCAAACUGGAAACUAUCAAGGAAGAGGUUAUGCUGGAAAUGGAGUUUAUGUUAGUGGCAAUGGCAAUGGUAACUUUGCCAGGAGUGGUGGAGGUUUUAAUAUUGGCAAGAAUUUCCUUGAUCCAAAUAUUGCCACUGUCACUUGUCAAAUCUGUUUUAAACCAAGGCAUACUACAGCUGAGUGCAGAAACAAGUUUAAUCGAGAUUUUGCUCCCUUUUAUCCAACCUUUGGCUACAAUCCAGCUCAGUCUCAAGUACCAAGAGCAGCUUUUCUUACAACUUCUGAAGGAGAAAUGGCAGAUCAAGGCUGGUAUAUUGACAGUGGGGCAACCCACCAUCUCACCAACAAUUUGCAAAAUCUGAAUCUUGGAAAAGAGUAUUCAGGUAAUCAGUUACUGCAUGUUGGUAAUGGUCAAGGAUUAUACAUCUCACAUAUUGGAUAUACCUGUUUAUCUACAUCAUGUGGCUCAUUUUUACAUUUGCAUGAUAUCUUAUAUGUUCCUCAGCUCACAAAAAAUCUGAUUAGCAUUUCCAAAUUACUUGAGAAUACCAAUUUAAUCAUUGAAUUUGUUGCAAAUAUGUGUUUUAUUAAGGACAAAAAGAGGGAAGUUCAUCUGGCUCAAGGGAUUGCUAGAGGAGGGUUGUAUCAACUGCUAUCAAAAAAUGACUUUGUCUCAAACUCUUGUAAUCUGACCUAUGGUCCUAGUUCUAUGCUUUCUAUUUUCAAUAACUCAACUUGUAAUCAUUCUGAUUCAGCUGAGAAUAAAAUUAUGGUCCUAGAUCUAUGCUUUCUAUUUUCAAUAACUCAACUUAUAAUCAUUCUGAUUCAGCUGAGAAUAAAGCUUGUAUACCUCAGUGUCAUACAAACACUGUCAAGUCAAUAAUGUCAGCAAACUUGUUUCAUCAACGUUUUGGUCAUCAUAGCAAGCAUGUAUUAAAAUGUAUUUUGUCUUCCCUGUCACUUAACUGCAAUGUUACUAUGCCUGAUUUCUGUGAUGCAUGUCAAUAUGGCAAAAUGCAUCAGCUUCCCUUUUACUCAACAGGCAUCAACACUAAAGCUCCCCUAGAACUUAUUCAUACUGAUCUUUGGGGUCCAGCACCAUUACCUUCCUCAAAUGGUUAUAGAUAUUAUAUAAGUUUUGUGGAUGACUACAGCAGAUAUUGUUGGAUAUUCCCCUUAACUCUAAAAUCCGAAGCUCUAGACACCUUCAAAUUCUUCAAAAACUUAGUUGAAAAACAAAUUGGGUGUCCUGUCAAAGCUUUACAAUCAGAUUGGGGGGGAGAAUAUAGGAAUUUUCAAUAGUUUCUUAAGGAAGAAGGGGUAGUUUUUAGGCAUAGCUAUCCUCACACACAUCAUCAAAAUGGUGUGGUAGAGAGGAAGCAUAGACACAUUGUAGAAACAGGGCUGACCUUGCUUGCUCAAGCCAAAAUACCCUUAUCCUUUUGGUGGGAAUCCUUUCAUACUGCUUCUUUUCUUAUAAAUCGAAUGCCAACACCCAUUUUAAAUAAUCAGUCACCCUUUACCAAACUCUAUGGCAGAAAGCCUAAUUAUCACUUUCUUAGAACUUUUGGCUGCUCAUGCUACCCUUUUCUCAAGCCUUACAGUAAGCACAAAUUCAAUUUUCAUACACAAAAGUGUGUCAUGAUUGGUUACAGUCCCAUACAUAAGGGGUAUAAGUGUCUUGACUCCUCUGGGAAGAUUUAUAUUGCUAGACAUGUGACAUUUAAUGAAUCUGAGUUUCCAUACUCAGAACUUUUUCCUUCCUAUAAGCCAAAUCACAAAAUACAGUUGAGUCAGUUUCUUUCUACAAAUUUCUCUCUUUCAGCAGUCAUUGAAGAUAUAAGCAACAUACAAUCCUCUCUCAGCUCUCCAAUUCCAAGUGCAGCUCCUGAUUCAAUUCAUUCUGAAACACAAUCUGUGCGAUAAUCUCCAAACACUUCAUCACAAAGCUUAGACUCCCAACCAUUAUUUGCUAAUCAGUCUACUCAGCUACAAACACAACCUUUAUCAACACCUGCUAUCCAAAACACCCAUUCCAUGGUCACUAGAUCAAAAGCUGGAGUGUUUAAACCCAAAACAUAUCUAGCAGCAGUCCAAGAGCUUGAGCCAUAUUCUGUAAAAGCUGCUUUAGCAGAUCCUAAGUGGAAGCAAGCUAUGCAAGAUGAAUAUGAAGCAUUGGAGAAAAAUGAAAUCUGGGUUCUGGUUCCCAAGGAGUCAGCAGGAAAGAUUGUUGGCAACAAAUGGGUUUUCAGAGUCAAGUAUAAAGCAAGACUAGUUGCAAAGGGGUUCCAUCAAACACAAGGUGUAGACUUCUUUGAAACCUUUAGUCCAGUUGUUAAGCAAUGCACAAUCAGAGUUAUUCUUAGCCUUGCUGUUAUGCAUAACUGGACAGUGAGACAGCUAGAUGUUAAUAAUGCGUUUCUCCAUGGCAUACUUACUGAAAAUGUCUUCAUGCAUCAACCUGAGGGCUUUGUUCAUCCUCAGUUUCCAUCACAUGUAUGUCAGCUUACCAAGGCCCUUUAUGGACUCAAGCAAGCACCCAGGGCCUGGUAUGAUAGAUUGAAAUCAUCUCUAUUGCAGUGGGGGUUCAUUGCUUCUAAGUCUGACACCUCAUUGUUUAUUCAUCAUGUGGGAGAAGACAUUGUAGUUAUACUUAUCUAUGUGGAUGAUAUCUUAAUAACUGGUUCUAACUCUAAGUUUGUAGAAGGAGUUAUAAAUAAGUUGGGGACAGAAUUUGCAUUAAAGGAUCUCGGAGAGUUUAAUUACUUUCUUGGUCUUGAAGUUACCCCAUCAGUUGAAGGAUUGCAUUUGUCACAAACUAAGUAUAUAGGAGACUUAUUGAAGAAAGCUCAGAUGUUAGAUUGCAAAGGAUGUCAAACUCCUAUGAGCUCAACAGAGAAGCUGAUUAAGAACAAAGGAGCCAUGUUUGAAAAUCCCUCACUUUACAGAAGCUUGGUUGGUUCUCUGCAAUAUGUUACUUUAACAAGGCCUGAGAUUGCAUUUACAGUAAACAAGCUUAGUCAAUUUCUUGCUUGUCCAUCAGUCUUUCACUGGCAGGCUUGUUAAAGAGUGCUGAGAUAUUUGCAGAAUACAACAAACUAUGGCCUGCAGUUCUACAGUUCUGGAUCUCUUAAUCUCACAGCUUUCUCAUAUGCAGAUUGGGGUUCAGAUUUGGAUGAUAGAAGAUCCGUAGGAAGAUAUUGUGUUUACUUGGGAAAUAGCUUGAUUUCAUGGUCUUCAAAGAAGCAACACAUAGUUUCCAAGAGUACUGCUGAGUCUGAGUAUAGAGCUUUAGCUCUAGCUGCAGCAGAGGUGCUAUGGAUUACUUACUUACUUAAAGAAUUAAAGAUGUCAUUACAGCAAACUCCAGUUAUCCACUGUGAUAACAAAAGUGCUGAAGCAUUAGCUAGUAAUCCAAAGUAUCAUUCCACGACUAAACAUAUUGAACUUGAUCUUCAUUUCAUUAGAGAACAUAUAGCCAAAAAGGAACUUCAGGUCAGCCAUGUUCCCAGCCAUGAACAAGUUGCUGAUAUACUUACAAAACCCUUGGCUUAUGAUCAAUUCAAUUAUCUGCGUUCCAAGCUCAAUGUUCUUUCUAGACCUUGAGCUUGAAGAAGAAUGUUAAGAUAUUUGAAUUGGUUAAUUACAGUUAGCUUAGCUUUCUGUUUAGUUAGUUAAGUGAAAUUGUUAGUAGUGCUGAUGUGGCAGUCCAGUCAGCUGAAUUUGUUAUGAUCCUUAGCUUUAAACAAACACAUUGCUCAUGUGUAGAGUGUAGAAGAUUCUAUAUAGACUCAUGUAUAAAUACUUGUAAUCCUGCUCAUUUGAGCUUAAGAUCAAUACAACGUUUUCACUCUGUUUUCUCUCUCAUUUUCUCUGCAACCAAACAACUCUUUUAUCUUUACAAUAUCCAAGUGUAGGAGUCAUAUGUUCAUUGUCGAGGAGCUAUCUAGUACGACUGUUAGAUGAAGCACGAGGAGACUGAAUGGUAGCUAUCAAUGGUAGCUAUCAACACGUGCAUUCUUCCCACUCGACAAUGGUUACGGUGCUCAUGUACUCACAAUGCAACACCUAAUGAAGUGACGAACAUGGGAUAAUAGAGAUCGAAUGUCCAGGCAGGUUAUAAAAGGGACAUUCGGAGAAGGUAAAGAGGUUAGACACUAUGAGGUAAAAUUUAUCUAAAAUUUAAUUCUCUUUGGCACUUUUUCUUCCCUCUUCUUGACCCUUUUUUCAAGAAUUAAAAGAUAAAAAAUCACAGAUAAGCCACGAGACUAGUGGCAUAGUUUUUCCUAAUCCCAGAUUGCUGACUUGAGUGUCAGAGGGUUUACACCAAAAAAACCUCAAGCGUCCUCUGACUGGCUGUUGUGCAUGCAGGAAGCUGCUGAUGAGAAGUUUAAGGCUCCAUUCUCUAAGAUAUCUCAACCUGGAGGAGAACAAUCUUGCUAAUUGUAGUGAUUGGUUUCAAGUAAUUGGCAAGCUCCAUUCUCUGAAAACCUUGACCUCGCACUCAUGUUAUCUUCGACCCGUUAUUCCUUUGUCUCUUAAUCACCUCAAUUUUAGUACAUCUCUUAAGACCCUUGUUCUCUCUUAUAAUAAUCUCACUUCUUCCAUAUUCCCUUAGUUGUCCAACAUCAGUAGCAAUUUUGUUUCAAUUGACCUUAGUUUUAACCAAUUACAAGGUUCAAUUCCAGAUUCUUCUCAACACAUGGUUUAUCUUGAACAUCUCAGUCUCAUGUUCAAUGAACUUGAAGGUGGGAUUCCCAAAUUCUUCGGAAACAUGUUAAACUUGUCUGAUAACAAACUCGGUGGAUAGCUCUCAGCAAUCAUUCAAAAUAUGUCGAGUGGAUGCUUGAAGAAUUCACUAGAGUCGCUGCAUUUAGAAGUCAAUCACUUCACAGGGCCAAUACCUGAUCUCGGAGGAUUUUCAUCCAUGAAAAGAUUAUAUCUUUCAGAUAAUCUUUUGAAUGGGACUAUAAACAAAAGCAUCGGUCAAAUAUUCAAGCUUGAGAUUACGUGUCUUUCCCAGAAUUCAUUGACAGGUGUUAUCUUUGAAUUUUCUUUUUUUCCCAAUAUCUCCAACUUGAAGGAAUUGCAUUUAGCUAACAACCCUUUGGUUUUGAAGCUGAGCAAUGAUUAGGUUCCUCCUUUUCAACUGAUUAUUACAAGUCGUUCCUCUUGUAAGAUAGGGCCUUAUUUUCCUAAAUGGCAUCAAACUCAGAAUCAAAUUGAGUUACUUGACAUCUCCAAUACUGGAAUCUCAGAUACUAUCCCUGAUUGAUUUUGGGAUCUAUCCAAUAAAUUCUCCUUUUUAGAUCUUGCUAACAUCCAGAUCAAGGGUAAACUUCCGGACUUGUCUUCAAGGUUUGGUACUUCUAAUCCUGGUAUAGAUAUUAGCUCAAACCAUUUUGAGGGUCCAAUACCACCACUUCCUUCAAAUUCUUCCUUCUUAAAUCUCUCUAAAAAUAGAUUCUCAAGGUCAAUUUCCUUAUGUUCUAUCAGCGGCAGCAAAUUGACGUACAUUGAUCUCUCCAGCAACUUAUUAUCAGGUAAGCUUCCCGAUUGUUGGUGGAUGUUUGAUAGUUUGGUCAUUCUUGAUUUGGGAAACAAUAGCUUCUCUGGUAGAAUACCAGACUCGAUGGGCUUCCUACAAAAUAUCCAAACACAGUUUACACAGCAACAGUUUAACCGGCGAACUGUCUUCAUCGUUUGGGAAUUGCUCACAACUCAGACUUUUGAAUCUUGGGAAGAACGCUUUGUACGGUGAGAUACCAACAUGGAUGGGGGAAAGCCUUUCAAAUUUGAUUGUUCUUAGCUUGAAAUCUAACAAAUUUCAUGGAAAAACACCUUUCCAGUUAUGCCAAUUUGCAUUCCUUCAAGUCUUGGAUCUUUCUUUAAACAAUAUAUCGGGAAAGAUACCAAAGUGUUUCAAUAAUUUUACUGCUAUGACCCAAGAAAGAAGUUCCGAUCCCACCAUUAAGGUGUACUAUUACACCUUUGUUGGCCCUCCAUAUGUACAUCACUAUAGCUUUCAGGACAAAGUCAUGCCGACAUGGAAAGGAAGUGGACGUGAGUACAGAAGUACUCUGGGGCUUAUAAAGAGCCUUGAACUUUCAAGUAACAAAUUAAAUGGAGCAGUUCCCGAAGAGAUAAUGGAUCUUGUGGGAUUGGUUGCCUUAAACCUUUCAAGAAACCAUUUGACUGGACAAAACUCUCCAAAGAUUGGUCAGUUAAAAUCAUUGGAUUUCCUCGAUUUGUCUAGAAACCAGCUUGUUGGCGGCAUUCCCUCGAGCCUUUCUCCGUUAAGUGUUCUGAGUGUCAUGGACUUGUCAUACAACAACUUGUCGGGAAAAAUUCCAACAGGCACUCAACUUCAGAGCUUCAAUGGCUCAGUGUAUGCUGGAAAUCCUGAACUUUGCGGUCUCCCACUUCCAAAUAAGUGUAGGGAUGAAGAAUCGGCUCCAGGGCCAGGCAUGACUGAAGGCAGAGAUGACGCGGACACUUCAGAAGAUGAUAUGAAGAUCAGUUUAUAACUCUCGGGUUUUAUGUGUCUUUGAUUCUUGGUUUCAUGUUGCGUUUUGGGGAGUUUGUGGCCCUUUACUUCGGAGUUAAUUAAUAAAUCGUAAAGGCUCCGUGUGACAGCAGCGAUGAAUAUUGCAAAACUACAACAACUAAACUUAAUGGUAAUACUACUUCACGUGUGGCGGUGUUUUAGUUCAUUAUGAUGAUUACAGAGGCUCACAUGCUUUUUCUUUCAUAAACUAAUGAUUCAUUGAUUUUUAUUUUUAUUUUCUCACCAAUUCUGGCAGGAGCAUUGUGUCUUUCUCGUAUCGUAUGGCAUUCUCUACAGAGAUCUCCUCCUAGCUUUCUAAAUAAUUAACUUAGUCUUCUCAUAUCAUACGUAUGUGGUACAUUAUGUAUAUGUUGGGUGAAUGCUUGAAGGAACUUCUGUAAUCUGUAUGUUUCUCUUUAGAAUUUAGAUCAUCAUCUAUAUAUGCCCAGUUAACGUUUUUAUUAAUAAUCCUUCUGUAAUUAUCACGAAAAAUGAAAUUCACUUGUGAAUGUGAUGAGACUGGUAUUUUCAAAAUACCAGCACUUUUUUUAGUUUUGGCAUUUGUUGAUUCACAAUGCCUGUCAGCUACUUUUUAAGGCAAAGCCAAAACCCCAACAAAGGAGAAAUUCUCUUUUAAUUUAUAACAAGCCAAGUAUGUGGUCUUCCAAACACACGGAAUGAGUCAAAUCAAUUUAUGGGCUAGUUGCAGUUGCAGAUUGUUUAAUUUUGAAUUGGAUUAAAUUUUAAUUUAAACUAAAUUAUUAUAAAUAAAGAAAAUUCCUAGGUGGCUGCAGAUUAUGUUGAUAAUUCAUAUAUAAUUUCUUAGUCUCUCCUCCUCUUUAGCUCUCUUCUAUUACACUCCGACAAUUAUGCGGCAUAAUUGUAAACAACAAGAAAAUGCUUUGCACCUACACAAAUUCACUUUGUCAAGAAAGUGGAGGUGGAGUGCUAAUAAUCUAAUUGUUAACUUUAGCUAUUAAUUAAUUAUUUCCACCAACAUUAAUAUAACUAUUGGCUCACAGAGCAGAUCAAGUGACCGCAUGUCUCUAUGCGCUUGUCCUAAACUCACAUGACAGCGGCUGCAGCACGUGGCUGAGAGUUUUUGUUGACAGUGGCAGCAGCAGCAGAUGACAGCAGCGAGAGCAGCAGCGACAAGCAGCAGCGACGAGCAGCAGCGAGAGCAGCAGCGACAAGCAGCAGCGACGAGCAGCAGCGACGAGCAACAGCGACAAGCAGCAGCGACAAGAAGCAGCGACGAGCGGCGGCGGCGACGAGCAAUGGGGACGAGAUUCCAGCGGCUGAAGGUCACGAGUUCGGUUUCGGUUGACGAUCAGAAGUGAUGUUUAGUUUAGACUUUAGGGAUUGCUGGAUUGUUAUUUGGUUUAUUUGAUAUUCGGUUCAGUUUUUCAGUUUUUUUUUUAAAUUGAAAACCGCACCGACUGGUUUUACUAUUUUCAUUAUAUUAUUUAUUCGGUUUUUUAGAUGUAAAAAAUCCGCACAAAAACCAAACCGAACCGAACGAUUCGGUUCGGUUUUUGAUUAAUCAGCUUUUUUUGCCCACCCCUAAUUAUGCUGCAUAUGCACUAUUGGUGGUUGUCGAAGCCUGCAAAAAUAAAUACAUACUCUAAAUAAAUUGUGUAUAGUGAUUGAGCAGGAUCAUGUCCACAGAGAUCGGUAAUUAUUUAAAUUCUUUUAAAAUGUAAAAUGCAAAAUGGGAGGAUUGUUGACAAUAAUAAAAAUCAAAUUAAAAUAACAAGAAUGCAAAUUAAAAUUGUAAUUAAAAUUGUAAUUAAAAUUGGGAAAAGUUCUGGUUGAAGGAAUUAAUUCAGCUUGAUUCGACUACUGAUCAUUGAUUCAAAUAUAAAUCAUUACUACUUAUGAAUAAACCGGUUAUAGCUACUGAUAGGGAUGGCAAUGGGGAGGGGAGGGGAGGGGAGGGGACCAAUCUCCCCAUACCCAUCCCCGAUAUUUUGUUAUGUCCCCGUCCCCUCCCCGUCCCCGUCAGAAUUACUUAAGUGAAUCCCCAUCCCCUCCCCGAAUACUAACAGGGGAUCCCCGAGGGUCCCCGGUCCCCGAAUAAUUAAUAGUCUAAUACAUUUUUUUUUUCGAUUUUAAAUUAAUCAUAUUAAAAUAAAAAAUUCAGAUAAAAAUAAAGUUCAAAAUAUAUCUUGCAUUAAUAUUGAUCCAUUUCAAAGUCACAUUCAAAAAUAUAAAUUAUUAAAAUAAUUAUCUUUGUCAAUGACUCAAUCUUCAUAAUCCUACAAUAAAAAGAAAAAAAAUUAUUUUUAUAUCGACAAUAAAAUAAAUGUAGAUACUUAAUUAAUAUUUUUAAUAAAACUAUUUACCUCCUGCUCCUCCAGUUCUUCCUCGAGAAAUGUGGCAAAUUGAGAGCUAACCUCAGAUUUCAAACCUAAAACAAUGAAAAUGAUAUAAGUAACGUAACUUAUAAGCGCAAAUAUUAAUAACUGUAUAAUAUAAUUACAAUGUAAAAUAAACUCAUACUGCUAUUGUAAGCUCGUAACCAACUUUGACAGCAUAUUAAGGCCUCCAAUGUGCUUGGAUGAAGUUUGUUACGGUGUGAGCUCACAACUCUACCACCGGUGCUAAAAGCUGAUUCAGAAGCAACUGUUGUAAUUGGAAUUGCCAAAAUAUCUCUAGCAAUUCGAGCUAAUGUAGGAUACGAAUUAGGAUUAGAACUGUUGUAAAUUAUAAUUAGGCAGCUCUCUCCUGUAUCAUUGUGGUUUGGAUUAAAAAUUUAAGACUUUAAUUAGUUAAUUAAGUUUAAAAGUUUAAUAAUAUAACUAUUUUAAUAUUUAUUAUUUUUAACAAUAUUUAUAAUUUUGUUAUUUAUUUAUUAGUAAUUUUAAAAAUAAAAAUAAAAUUAAAAAUUAAAAUGGGGAAAUGGGUAGGGGAUGGGGAUUCCACCUCAUCCCCGUCCCCUCCCCGAAUAAAAAAUUGGGUAAAAAAUUUUCCCCGUCCCCUCCCCGAAUAAAAAAUUGGGUAUAAAAUUAUCCCCGUACCCUCCCCGAAUGGGGAAAAUCCCCGAGGGUACCCGUCCCCGUGGGGAUUUUUGCCAUCCCUAGCUACUGAGACCCUUUAAUAGCCAAUCUCUCUUUAACUAGUCGAUAACUAAGGUACGACCAUUGGUUAUUUCCCUAAUUAAUAGAUAACCCUAGAUACAAUCAUAGGAUUUAAUUAAUUGACAACCUGAAAAAUCAGAGAGACCCAAAUCCUAAUCAACAAACGCAUACGAUGGUUCAUUUAAAUUAGAUUGUUUAUUCUCAUAACACAACGCACUGCUAUGCUAUUUGUCACAAAUAUUAAAAUCUUCAUACGAUGAAUCUUUUAAUUGACAAUAGAUUAAGUUGAUAAUUAAAUAGUGGCCAAUUAUCUAAUUAACAAAUAUAAUCAUGACAAUAAUUUAGAGAAUAAACAAAUACCCAAAAAGCAAUAAAACAAUUAAAGCAUAAGAAAGAUCUCACAGUAAUGAUGAACCAAAGCUUUAUUAAUCUUCAACCAGAAUAAUAGGUUUAGUUCUUCAUAGAGAGAAGAGAAAAAUUUAGAUCUAGGGUUUCUUUUUCUUUCCCCUUCAAAAAAUCUACCCCCUUUGUUUUUCACGUCCCUUUUCUUUCCUAGCUUUUCCAAAAAUAAAAUACUAAUAUCUAAAGUAUUAUCUAAAUAUUAAAUUCAAAAUUACAAAAAUAACCAAAAAGAUAAAACACGUUAAAAUAAAAACUGCAGGUCCUUAGUUGACAACACGCGCCCACGCCUUAUUAACAAAGUUUUUCUGAAGCUCAUAAUUUUUUCAGGAAAACAAUCAUCCUCAAACAUCAUCUUGUAGCUCAAUUUUAGCACCAAUCAAUAGAAUUGCACCUACAAAAAUAAAACACAAAUAAAUCAUUGUUAUUAAGAGCAAAACAUUGAUAUUAAAGGAAGUAAACAAUGCAAAACUAGUGCAUAAAUUGCACUCUAACAACCAUAUUACGUUUAAUAUUUGAUGUUCUAAAUUGUACUCCAACCACUCUGCCAGGAAACACGAUAAUAUAUUUUACUUUCGUUGUUCUGAAUCGCACUCCAUUUAAUUGACUUCUCAUUUUAUAUAUAAGUAUUUUAAAAAAAAUAUGUAGACAUCGUGGAUGGAUCUAUGGGCCAUUUAUGUAUUAUGAUAGCUUUUAAAAGGAAAAUUAUCACUGCACCAUAUUUUUUUUGCCUUAUGUUCAUUCAACCAUUACAAAAUUCUAACAUGUUCUCUGUAUCAUCUUUCUUUUUAAAUUUGUAUCAAUUAACCACUUUUGCCCUAAUACUCUUAAAUAAUUUAAACGAAAUGACAAUUUUACCCCUAAAUAAAUUAAAAGACCAUUUUAUCUUAUAAAAGUUUGAAAAAUAAAAAAAAUUAUAAUUAUAAAAAUACCCCUAAAUUUUAAAAAAUAAAUCCAAAAUAGAGGUGCUUAGUUGAUUUUUAUUAAAUUUAGAUUUUGCAAAAUUUUAAUUAUUAUUUUUAUUAAAAAUUUAUAAUUUUCAAAAUUAUAAUAAAAAAUAACUGAAUUUAUUUAUUAAAAAUUAUAAUUUUGUAAAAUUUUAUUAAAAUAACUGAAUUUAUUUAUUAAAAAAUAAAUAUUCAAAUAGGGGUAUUUUUAUAAUUAUAAUUUUUUUAUUUUCAAAACUUUUACAAGAUAAAAUGAUCUUUUAAUUUGUACAAAUAAUAAGUUGUGGAAGAAUUAAUUAAAUGUUUAUAAGAAUGCAAGUUAUUGAAAUGAAUAUAAUGCUGAAUAAAAUUUACUUGCACAUUUAUAAGCAUGCAUAAAUAAUUUUUUUUGUAUUUUAUUAAUUUUAUUUAUGUUAUUUUGUUAUCUCAAUAUAAAUGGUGAUAAUAAUAAUCUCUUUAAGUGCCUGUUUGAUAUGACUUAUUUAAUGGUUAUAAGUGUUUAUUUAAUCUCAUAAGCUCUAAUCAUAAUAUUUGUUAUUUUUUAUUGCUUUUUUAAUAGAGCAUUUGAAGCUUAAAUAAAAUGUUUUGCCUUUACUAGUAAAAGCUUAAAUUUUGGAUUUUUGAGAGUAGAUGUUGAAAAAUUAUUUUUAAAUAUUAAAAUAUCUAAAAUAUCCUCUAUUUAUUUAAUAAUCUUAUUUUAUUCUUUUCAUAACAUAACUUUAAAAAGUUUGCUUAUUAAAGUAAUUUCAUAAAUUUUUAAUAAAAGCUCUUAUUGACAACCAAACGACUAAAAUUUUUUAGGUAAAAGCUCUAUUAAUAAAUACUCUAAUUAAAUAAAUUUUACUAGAAAAGUUGUACCAAACGGAGCCUACAAUAAUGAUAAUAUUUCCUUAUUGAGUUAGAAUAAUUUUAGAUUUUUAUAAUAUAUGUAAGGUUAUAUAAAGAAUAGUAUUAAAUAUAAAUGAUAAUAAGGAUAAUUUUGGCUUUUACCUAUCGUACGCUUGGCACAACUGAUUUCUACACCCCGAUUAUCGCUGCCGUUUCAUAUUAAUUAAUAGGAAAUAAUGUUGUUAAAGUGGGUGGUCGCUUCGCAGGAUUCGUACAAAAUGUGAACGAAGAAGAGAAUUUCCCAAGAAAACUGUCAGUAAAAGUUAAAGGAUUCAAGACUAGAGAUGCUAAGCUACAUACGUACAAAGUAAUAAUAAUAAUAAUGGAAGACAAAACAUAUACAUAUUAAUAGACUUGUUGACUAGUAAAUUUUUUAAACGGAUGAUGAUACUAAUAACUAAUAUUCAAACCAGAAUAAUGUUACCAAUAAAGUAGGUGGAAGGUUCGCAUGAUUCACGAUCAUUGGUACUGAAAUGUGAACGAAGGGAAUUUUACAAGAUUUGCUCUUACUCUAUUCGAUCUUUUUAUUAAUCAAAUUUCUAUGUAGAUGACAUAUAAUGAUAAUAAAAGGCUAAAAUAUUGUUUUCGUAGAAGACUAUUGACAUCAGUGAAGACUCUGUUGUUGAUAUACAAGUAUUAAUUGGCCUGGAUUCCUGAGGUUUCAGAUAUCAAGCAUUGAAAACAAAUAUUCACAAUGUCAUCCAAAUGGUUCCUUUUACUUCAAUAUAUAGCUUUCUGUUCUGUGAUUUUGUUUCAACCGCAGCCAAGAGUUGUAAUUGCAGAUUCUAACAAGACAAGGUGCAUAGAUGAGGAGAGAGAGGCACUUCUCACUUUCAAAGCUAGCCUGGUGGAUGAAUCUGGCAUUUUGUCUUCAUGGAGACGAGAAGAUGAGAAAAGAGACUGUUGUAAAUGGACAGGUGUCGGCUGUAGCAAAAGAACCGGCCAUGUAAACAAGCUUGAUCUUCAACCAAUCGGUUUUGACUCAUUUCCUUUGAGAGGUAAAAUUACUCCCGCUUUGCUCAAAUUGCAACAUUUAACUUACUUGGACCUCAGUCGGAAUAAUUUCAGUGGAAGUUCAAUUCCCGAGUUCCUUGGUUCCCUCGGCAAAUUGAGCUAUCUCGGUCUCUCUAGUGCUGAGUUUGCUGGACCAAUUCCUCAUCAGCUUGGAAACCUUUCAAGGUUGCAAUUUCUUGACCUCAGCUUCAAUAAUUUGUUUAGUGGUGAGAAUCUUGAUUGGCUUUCUCAUCUUUCUUCUUUAAUUUAUCUUUACUUGGAUUUGAACGAUCUCAGUAAUUUCAGCAACUGGGUUCAACUACUCAGCAAGCUCCAUUCCCUAACAACCUUGUCCUUGUACUCGUGUGAUCUUCCACCAAUCAUUCCUUCAUCUCUUUUGAACCUCAAUUCUAGUAAUUCUCUUGAGGUUAUUGAUCUCACCGAAAACAAUCUCACGAAUUCAGUAUACCCUUGGUUGUUCAAUGUUAGUAGCAGUCUUGUUGAUCGUAUAAGCCUUCCUUCUAACCAAUUACAAGGUUCAAUCCCAGAAGCUUUUGGACGCAUGGUGUCUCUCAGAUAUCUCGAUCUCUCUUCUAAUGAAUUGAGAGGGAUUCCAAAAUUUCUUGGAAAUAUGUGCGGUUUAAAAAUAUUAUACUUGUCUGGCAAAGAACUCAAAGGGCAGCUCUCUGAGUUCAUUCAAGAUUUGUCUAGUGGCUGCACAAAGAACUCACUGGAGUGGCUGCAUUUAUCUUCCAAUGAAAUCACAGGGUCAAUGCCUAAUCUCGGAGAAUUUUCAUCUUUGAAACAAUUGAAUCUUGAAAAUAAUCUUUUAAACGGGACUAUACACAAAAGCAUUGGCCAAUUGUUCAAGCUUGAGAUGUUGAAACUUAAUGGAAAUUCACUCGGAGGUGUCAUCUCCGAAGCUUUGUUUUCAAAUCUUUCCAGGUUAGCGGCAUUGGACUUGGCAGAUAACUCAUUGACGUUGGAAUUUAGCCAUGAUUGGAUUCCACCUUUUCAACUGAAUACUAUAUCUCUUGGCCAUUGCAAGAUGGGGCCUCGUUUUCCAAAAUGGCUUCAAACUCAGAGUCAAAAAUUUUUCGCUUGAUAUCUCGAAUGCCAAAAUCACAGAUACUGUCCCAAAUUGGUUUUGGGAUCUUACUCAUCAACGAAUGCUUUUAAAUCUCUCAAGCAACCAGAUGAGAGGUAAAGUUCCAGAUUUGUCUUUGAGAUUUGAUAUUUCUGGUCCUGGUAUUGAUAUUAGCUCAAACCACUUUGAGGGUCCAAUUCCACCACUUCCUUCAAAUGCUACAUCCCUAAAUCUCUCCAAAAAUAAAUUUUCAGGAUCCAUUUCCUUCCUAUGUUCCCUCAGUAACAGAUUAAUAUAUCUUGAUCUCUCAAAUAACUUACUAUCAGGAAAGCUUCCUGAUUGUUGGUUCCAAUUCGAUAGCCUUGUCAUUCUUAAUUUGGCUAACAAUAACUUUUUUGGUAAAAUACCAAACUCAAUGGGCUUCCUACAUAAUAUCCGGUCAUUGAGUUUGUACAACAGUAACUUAACUGGCGACUUGCUUUCAUUUCUAUGAAUUUCUCACAACUGACACUCAUGGAUCUUGGGAAGAAUAGAUUAUCAGGAGAGAUACCCACAUGGAUAGGUGAAAGCCUUCCGAAAUUGGUCGUUCUCAGUUUAAAAUCUAACAAUUUCCAUGGAAAUAUACCCUUUCAGUUAUGCCAUCUAUCCUACAUUCAAAUCUUGGAUAUUUCUUCAAACAAUAUAUCGGGAACCAUUCCCAAGUGUUUCCACAAUUUUACCGCCAUGACUCACACAACAAGUUCCAAUCGCUCCAUUACCUCCUACUAUCACUACAAUCUUGGCGAUGAAAACGUGCAAAUGCCGGGAAUCUAUUUUGACACAACAUAUUUGACAUGGAAAGGAAGUCAAUACGAGUACAAAAGUACUCUGGGACUUGUAAAGAUCCUCGACCUUUCAAGUAAUAAGUUAGGUGGAGGAGUUCCUAAAGAGAUUAUGGACCUUGUGGGAUUGGUUGCCUUGAACCUUUCGAGAAACAAUUUAACUGGACAAAUCACUCCAAAGAUUGGUCAGUUAAAAUCAUUGGAUUUCCUCGAUUUGUCUAGAAAUCAGUUUUUUGGCGGCAUUCCUUCAAGCCUUUCUCAGUUAAGUGGUCUCAGUGUCAUGGACUUGUCAUACAACAACUUGUCGGGCAAAAUUCCAUUGGGCACUCAACUCCAAAGCUUCAAUGAAUUGGUGUAUGCUGGAAAUCCUGAACUUUGCGGCCUCCCACUUCGAAAUAAGUGUCCGGAUGAAGACUCAGCUCCAAGUCCAGAGAGAGAUGAUGCAAACACUCCAGAAGGGGAGGAUCAGUUGAUAACUUUUGGGUUCUACGUGAGUGUGAUUCUUGGUUUCUUUAUUGGAUUCUGGGGAGUCUGCGGCACUUUACUGGUGAAUACUUCGUGGAGACAUGGUUACUUCAAAUUCCUAACCAGUGUGAAAGAUUGGGUCUAUCUGAUAACAGUUGUGAAUAUUGCCAAACUGCAAAGAAGGUUCAGGGAUUAAACGGUAAUACUCAUUCACAUGUUAAGUGGGUUUAAUUUAUGAUAUAGUUGGCUCACUUCUUAUUGCUUCACAUAUUUUUCUUUCCCAAACUGAUGCCUCCUUUUUUGGUUUCUUUGCUUUCACUGGUUCUUGCAGGAGCAAUUAAAUCUGUCUCUCAGAUGGCAUUCCGUCUUUCUUGCUCGGAGUUUACGUUCCAGGGUCAAAAGCUUUGUAACUAAUGUGUGCUUGAAGGAGCUUGUAUAUUGUUCUGUUUAGCCCAUGUUCUACUCUUACACAUAAGCUUUGGCGAACGUUUGAAAUGUAACCCGUCGUCAAAUUGUCCUCUGUUAUGGAUCAAUAUGUUUUAUUUUCAAUUUGCUUGGGUGAAUAAACCUUUUGAUUAUUGCUGAGUACAAAUCAGCUCUCAUGCUUUCUGCUGACUAUAAGCAUAUCUUAAAGUGUAAUUUCGAAUAUCAAACUGUUUUCAACUGAUUUUGGGGUAGGAAAAUCCAAAAUCAAUCUAGAACAAUAAAUUUAUAUUUUUGGGGGAGAUGGGGUACCUCACUAGUUUAUUUUGUGCGGUGCGGUGUAUCUGAAAUUCGGGGGAGGUGAGAGGGGGAGAAAGAGUGGUAACAAUGGUGAAAGGUCAGAAACGAGAGAGGUGUCCUUCCAAAUGAGUUUCACGCCUGCAAAACAGUGAAAUAGAGGUUAGAGGUGAAGCCGGGGUACCCCGGCGUUCACACUCCGACGCUCAAGUUAGCAAACUCAAGCUUUAAUGGUAAAGAGAGCUGGCCAGCCCUCUGUAAAUUUAGGGUUUAAGGUUGAAGAAAACCUAUUUUUUGGAGUGUGAGUGUUAAUGGUGAGUGAGAGCCUGGUGGAGAGUGAAACCUAGGCGCCUUUAUAUAUGGAGUACCUUAGCUGCCACGUGGCGUACCCCUUUUUGGCUAACGUCCUUUUACCUCUUUAUAAUUUUUUGGGCCGUUAUCUGCAUGUUCGCGGCAUAUCUCAUCUUUUGGAAACGUGGCGCGCGCUGGAGAGUGGUCCGGGGUACCUCUGCAGUAGCUGUCGGGUAGGCGGCUAGGGACCACUGUCCUUGGAACAGUGUCCUUCACUUUUGGCAGAGGUGGCAGGCGGCUGUCCCUCCUUUUAGCACGUCAUUUUUUAUCCUUAAUUCUGACAAAAUCGAAUAAUAUCUUUUAGGAGGCGGAGGCGUUUCUCAUGGCGGAUAUUUUUUGGAGAUACCUCGAGUUACGUGGGGUACCUCUAAUUGUACGAGGUACCUCUAUUUGUGUGGGGUACCUCUAUUUGUGUGGAGUACCUCUAAUUAUGCGGGGUACCUCAAAUUGUGCCGGAUUCAUUCCAUUGGUUGACACGUGGCGCUCUAUUGACUUUCCUAUUUUUCCCUCAAACAACAUCCCCCUAGUUUCUUUUUGGCGAGAAGUAUUGGAGGCAAAAGAAACUCAUUGUAUGAGUGACACAUGGCGACGCGGCUGGACCGGAGGGUACCUUGCUUAGCUUCUUUCCUUGACUAAACUUUGUGUACUUCAAACUAAAAAUUUUCUCUUUGUCUAUUCCUUUUCCCGCUUUUUUUUUUUUUUUGACGAUGAGAAUGAACAGUUUUCUUCAUGUGUCUUUUUCCUUUUUCUUGGGAAGUGGCAGUCGUCUGACAUGUAGUUUGAAUUUUGAAAAUAUCAAUCUCACACAAACAUCCAUGAAUUCUUUUCUCGGGCAGCGUGUUCUGUCAGGUUGAAUUAAAACUCCUGACUUGUGUCAAUCUUCUCUCACUUAUUUUGAAAAUCCCCAAACGAACUCCCAAAAUUUAAUUUUUUCCAGUAGCCUUUUUCUUCUAUAAUUUCGUCUCUUCUUCUAACUGCAUCAACAUUAUCACAGGUAAAAACAAAAAUUUCUUUACUCUUUUUUUUUUUUUUACUUUCGUUCGUCUUCCCCUAGGUUUUAUUCUUUCUUCCCUCUUUUUCUUUCUGCUGUACCGUACAUCCGCCUUGGCCGUACAGCAGGGCCGCUCAACUGUUCGAGCGCAAUGCAGUUUUCUCUUCUUUUCCUUUCUUCUUUCUUCUUUUUUUUUCCUUUCUCUUUCUCUCUCGGUCGGCGUUGAUCCGGUGCGUUUUCCGGCGUGGACCUCGGCUGCUGCAGUGGCGGUUUUGGGCUCCAGAUCUGGUCGGUUCAAGGCGAUUUUUCGGCGUCUCACGGCGAGAUCUUGGUCCGGUGAUACACACGGUAAACCUCCCUCCUUGUGUCUUCAUUUUAUCUUGCGUUCUCUCUCUUAUUUCUCUCUUUUUUGCGAUCUUCAGCGCCGGAUUUGGUGGUUGCAGCCAUGGCAGCCGGUUCUUCUUAAUGGUUGUAGCUUCUCAGUUUUCUCUUCUUCUUUCUCUUUUUUUUUUGUUUCGAUCGGUGCUUUUCUCUGUGAUUUCCGGCGUCGGUUUGGUGUGGUUGCAGUCCCCCCUUCCGUGUUGUCUUCUCUGUUCUUCAUUUUUCUUUUUUUUUUUUGGCCGGCGUCCUCCUUUGGUGGUUUCCGGCAUCCUUCUCGUGAUCUCCAGCGUCGGUUCUCGGUGGUUGCAGCCAUGACAGCCGACGCCGGUUGCUGCAGCUUCUUCGUUCUUCAUUUUAUUUAUUCAUUUAUUUAUAAAUAACUAUAUAUAUUUAAGCUUAUUUUUAUUUUUAUACUUGCAUAUUUUUACCCACUAUUUUUGGUUGCCUGCAGCUUCAUUUCGCCGCGAUUAUCAAUCCCGAUCUGCUAAAUUGGUGAAUCACAGGUAUCCCUCCUCGCUUCUCCUCCUUUGGCGCAUUCACAGUGACCCUAUUUUGCAUACUCUGAGAAAAUUUUAUUUUUGGUUUUUUGUUGUUUUUUGUUUUGUUGGUUGGUGUUUGCAUUUGGUGGUUGAUGUGUGGUGGAUGGUGCUUGGUAUGGAUAUAUUGCUGUUUGGAAAACAUGUGGCUUGUGGAUGUGUUGUUGGGUGUAUCGUUUGAAAGGGAUGGUUUGUCGCUGAGGGUAAGUGGGGGACAGAGACUCUGGGUGAGAAGGGCGACCCCGUGGAGGUUCCCCAUUCAUUCAAUGUAAACUGUAAGUAUCUCCCUUACUUAUGGUUCUUUAUCAGAAUCUUUCGCCUGAAUGUCUCGCUAACCUUGAGUUCUUUAUGCUUUCGCAGGUGUGACAUGGGCUAAAGGAUCAUGCCCAGUUCAGGAGGUGGGGAGAGAGGUGAAGAAAUUUGUGGACAGGCUUCGAGGUGCACAAAGGGGUAGUGAUGUGCUAGAUGAGAGCCGAUUAUGGAGAGCGGGGCUGAUUGACCGAAGUCCUCCGCCUGCUCCUGGGGGUGACUCAUGUAUGAUUUGGGUGUCGGGGGGUAUCCUAUUGUUACUUAUGGGACUGGGGUACCCCAUUAUCAUUGCAUUCUUCGUUUCGCUUCCCCGCUUUCCAUUUCCUAUUUUUUACUUUUGCAGUACUUAGUACUUGUCCAGCUAACAUAACUUUUGUGCAUUGGGUGCAGUCAUGGAAUCGACGGGUGAUGCUUUUGACGCCUUCUUCCAAGCGGUGGUUACCUCCAAGGUUGCUGAAGAGGUUGACAAGAUGAGCUUGAGCCAGCGUUACGGUCAAGCACUUAGGGCUACCCAAGAGGUAGGCUUUCUCGGGGUACCCCGGGUGUACUCUUCAUCAUUUUCUUUUUACUUAUUUAAUCUUUUUGUCAUAUACAUAUAUUUAACAUGUCUUUCAUGACCCGCAGGCAUCCUUUCUCCUAAGCCACUGCCUUCCGGAUCUCAACUCCCUUGUUGUCGCACAGUCAGAGGUCGACAAGUUAAGGAGUGAGCUUCAAAGCCGUCAAUCUCGUGAGGAUCAGCUCGCUCGAGAAGUUAAAACUCUACAAGAAUGCAUUGCUGGCCUAUCGGGAGAGAAAGCUAGGGUGGAGAAGGAUUGUGAGGAGUUGAGGGCCACUAACGGGGAUCUGAUAUCUCGGCAAAAGACGAUGGCGGAGGAUGCAUUCUCACUCAUCAUGACGGAGGUGUGGAGUGUGGAUCCGGAGUUGGAGGUACCCCGGGUGCAGAAAUUUGUCAACAAGGCUACGAUUCUAAAGACAAUUGCAGAGAGGAAGAAGCCUUCCCAACCACGGUCGGGUACCCCUUCCGGGUCGCCUAGGGUACCCCAUCAGCUUCAGCUGUUGCCUGCUUCGGAUGCCCCUACUUCGGCUGCUCAUAUUCCGGGUACCUCGGAGUCCUCUGCUGAUCUCCCUCUGGAGACGGAUGUUGGGGAUGGCGUUCCCCCCUCGGUGUAGCCUUCUCACUAUGCUCUUGUUUUUUCGGACCUAUCCACAUUUUGCUAUUUGGACCUUGUUUCUUUCUUUUUGGUUUCUCGGGAUAUUUUGUAUUAUUGGGACUUCUCUUUUGUUAUGAUACCAUGCCAUCGAGUUCUCUUGUACUUUGUAUGCUUGUUAUUCUGCCAAUGAAUGCUUGACUAAACUGUUACCUUGUAAAUGUCUAGGGUACCUCUCAUUUUUUUUGAAAUGGGGUACCCCUGGUACCUUAACAAAUAUCCAACAUCAUGGGGAUUCCCUACAAAUGUGGUGCAUGUCCUUCUCAGAAACUAUGGCGGAUUCCCCACAAAUAGGUAAUCAAAAUAUCAUCGCAACAUCUCGAUCAAACGUUGAAAGCUACAAAUGUGGUGCAUGUCCUUCUCGNNNNNNNNNNNNNNNNNNNNNNNNNNNNNNNNNNNNNNNNNNNNNNNNNNNNNNNNNNNNNNNNNNNNNNNNNNNNNNNNACAUCUCGAUCAAACGUUGAAAGCGCAAUUGGUCCAACCAAUCACUUUCUUAUUCUUUCGAAGUUUUCUCUGAAUUUUUUAAAUAGCCUACCCCAUACUUUGUAAAAGUACGAGGACGGAGGUGUGGGUGUUCUCAUACCUAAGCCGAACUUCGUGCCGCUAGGGUAUGCCGGUUUUUCUUCACCCUCGGGUCCUCUUUGACCCUCCAUUUCUUUGUCUAGGUAGCUUUAUCAUGCUUCCGCAGAAAGGCUACCCCCGGGCUGUUCCCUUCGUUGCCCAUCUUGGGUUUACAUAGAUCGUCACGAUCUAGGCAUAUCAGGUACCCUGGCUGGUCCUGUGAUAAGUUAGUCAUAAUUGACAAACGUAUGGCGAGAAUUGCAUAUUACCAGAUGCGAGGGUAUAUUAAUGGCGAUAAAUGAAUAUAAUCCGCACUCUAAGAUCGAAGUGGAGAAAAAUAAAUAAAGAACCCACACCAUAUUUGUUGAGAAAGAACAUGCAUUUAUAGAUAACGAAAGCGUUGAUCAAUACAUGACUUAGCUUUGUUACCCUGAUGAGAAUGGGAGACCGCAAGACCUCCUAUCCCUUUCAUUUGACAAUUAAAGAAACUCUAAAGUUGCAACUGACCAACAUAGGGCAUUUGGGGUACCCCAUUUGGCCUACCACACAAAAACAUUAAAGAAAGCAAAUAACAGCAAAAGACUAAAGGUUGAGACACUGUCCUUUAGUAAUAUUUCCGUAGCAUUGCAGCGUUCCAGGGGUGCCUCACAAUUGUGCCAUCCAUGUGGAGUAGCCUGUAUGCACCUGUCCCAACGGGUUUGUCGAUGCAGUAAGGUCCUUCCCAAUUUGCCCCAAAAGCACCUUCGCAGGGUACCCUAGUGUUAUGAGUUACCCUUCUCAAGACCAAGUCUCCUUUCUUGAAGGAUCGAGGGCGUACCCUUUUUUCAUAUAGACCCGAAAUGCGAUGCUGAUAUAUGGUUGUCCUCAGUUCUGCUCUAGCCCUUUUUUCAUCCACCAAAUCAAGGUUUGAAGCAACCAAUGAGGUGUUCUCGGCCUCAUCGAAGUAUUCAACCCUGUGAGAGGGUACCCCGAUUUCUGCUGGAAUCACUGCGUCAACACCGAAUGCGAGGGAAAACGGGGUCUCCCUAGUGGAGGUGUUUUGAGUAGUCCGGUAUGCCCACAGUACGCCAGGUAGCUCGUCUACCCAUGCUCCCUUUCUUUCUUCUAGCUUCUUCUUCAGGAUACCUUUGAUAAUCUUGUUAACGGCUUCGACUUGCCCAUUAGAUUGGGGGUGGGCAGGUGUAGCAAAUCGGUUGGCUAUCCCCAACUCCGAACAAAAGCUUCAAAAUUUUUCAUUAUCAAAUUGCUUACCGUUAUCACUGAUAAUUGCAUAGGGGAUUCCAAAUCUGCAAAUGAGGUUCUUCCAAAUGAAUUCGGUGGUUUUCCUUUCUGUGAUGCUUGUUAGUGGCUCCGCUUCCGCCCAUUUUGUAAAAUAAUCUACCGCCACGAUUGCAUGUUUUGCUUGCCCCUUCCCGGUAGGUAACGGGCCAAUGAGGUCCACUCCCCACAUAGUGAAGGGCCAAGGAGAAGAUAUAACUGUUAGCUUCUCUGGGGGUAGGUGGGGUACCCUAGCGAACCUCUAGGAGAUCAAUGCUGGGGGCGGGUAUGUGUUCUAUUGUGAUGGGGCCAGCUGACUGAGCUACACCAAGGGACGCCAUUUUUGCUAGGGUAUCAGCUUCGCUGUUCUCCAGUCGAGGUACCCUUUCCACUUUAACCUCGCAAAAUUGGGAUAUCAACUCUCUGGUUUUUUCGAGGUACCCCUUCAUGUUUUCCUCUUUCGCUUGAUAUUGUGCGGUAAUCUGGCUUACCACCAACUGUGAGUCACUCUUGACGUGUACCCUUUUUGCUCCCAAAGCCUUUGACAUCCUCAACCCCGCUAUGAUUGCCUCGUACUCGGCUUCGUUGUUUAAGGCCUUGAAUCCGAAUUGUAGGGCGUAGCAUAAUUUCACCUUGUUCGGGUCGAUUAUAAUAACUCCCACGCCACUUCCGUGCGAGUUAGAGGAACCAACCACAUAUAUUUUCCAGACCUGCUCCUCUUCAUCGGUAGGUGGGGUAUCUAACAGGUAUCUCAAAUCACAUUCACCACUUGAGUCAUUGGCGAAUUCCGCAAUGAAAUCAGCAAUGGCCUGAGCUUUAAUCGCCGAACGAAGCUUGAAGAUGAUGUCGAACUCGCUUAAUUCGAGGGACCAUCGGAGAAGCCUUCCGGACAUGUCUAACUUCUGAAGGAUUUGCCGGAGGGGAAGGUUGGUGACGACUGCAAUGGUGUGAGCCUGAAAAUAUGGUCUGAGCUUCCGUGCGGAGACAACCAAUGCCAAAAUGAUCUUCUCAGAGGUGGGGUACCUCUUUUCGGCAUCAACCAUAGCCUUACUAGUGUAGUAAAUAGGUCGUUGUACCCCAUUAUCAUCCUCUCGGAGUAACACAGAGCUGGUGGCAUGCUCGGAUACGGCGAGAUAUAGCAGCAGCACCUCUCCCGGCUCAGGUUUGGCAAGUAGUGGAGCAUUCACGAGGUACCCCUUCAGUUCUUGGAAAGCCUCUUCACAAUCGGGUGUCCAUUGGAGCUUUUUAUCGGUCUUCAAAGCUUUGAAAAAGGGCUUACACCGGUCGGUAGCCUUGGAGAUAAAGCGGCUCAGAGCAGCUACCCGGCCUGCCAAGCUUUGAACCUCCUUGAUGGUGCUUGGCAAUUUCAUGUCAAGAAUUGUGCGAAUUUUAUCGGGGUUGGCUUCAAUCCCCCGUUGUUGUACCAUGAACCCGAGAAACUUUCCUGAGGUUACCCCGAAUGCACAUUUUUCAGAGUUAAGCCGCAUCUGAUGUUUUCUCAAAACGGUAAAGGUAUCUCUGAGGUGCCCCAGGUGUUCCCCCGCAUGCACCGAUUUGGUGAUCAUGUCGUCUAUGUACACCUCCAUGGUGCGCCCGAUUUGUUCUUUGAAAAUUUUGUUCACUAGCCGCUGAUAGGUAGCCCCGGCAUUCUUCAAACCAAACGGCAUAACCUUAUAACAGUAUAACCCCCGGUUGGUGAUGAAGGCUGUUUUCUCUUGAUCGGGUUCGUACAUCGGGAUUUGGUUGUACCCGGAGAAGGCAUCCAUAAAACUAAGCAUUUCAUGCCCAGCUGUUGCAUCAACCAGCUGGUCCACCCGAGGAAGCGGGAAGCUAUCCUUGGGGCAGGACUUAUUCAAGUCGGUGAAGUCCACGCACAUGCGCCACUUUCCGUUUGAUUUCUUGACAAGAACAACGUUGGACACCCAAUCGGGGUACACUGCUUCCCGAAUAAACCGUGCUGCUAAUAGGCGGUCUACCUCUUGUUCAAUUGCAUCGUACCUCUCUUGAUUGAAGGCGCGACGCUUCUAUUUGACCGGUUUAUUAUGCGGGCUGACAUUGAGUUUGUGACAAGAGAGAGAAUGUGGGAUACCCGGCAUAUCCGAGUGGGACCAAGCAAAUACAUCGAGAUGCUCACAUAGGAAGGUGAUGAGUUUCUCCCUUUGUUCCUCCGAGAGGUUGGAGCCUACUUUCAUUGUCUUUGUUGGGUCGGUGGCGCAAAUCGAGACUGAAAUAAGAUCUUCAAUUAGGGUACCCCGCAUUUCAUCUUUCAAUAUUCGGGGAUCCAAAGGUGCCUCAACUUCACAUCUGGGCUCCUCUUGGUCCCCAUGGGGUACCUUGGAGCUAUCCCUCGUAACUGCUUCCAUCCCCCUUAGUGAAAACUCCAACUUUUCUCGUGGGUGGGCUACUUGAGGAGAUUUUUUCAGUACUGUUCUCCGCUGUCUAGCAAGUGCUCGCUUUGAGGGGGAAGGUGUGGGCUGGCUGCCACUAGGGUACCCCUUCAUUGGCGGAUCUGAAGCUAUUUGGUAAGUGACUUUGGAGCUAGGGUACCCCUUCAUUGGCGAAUCUGAAGCUAUUUGGUAAGUGACUUUGGAGGCCAUGGAAUAACAUCCACGAGCCGAUUGCUGGUCCCCUUUAAUGGUGAUCUGCUCUUGGGCGGCCGGGAUUUUCAUGGCGAGGUAGUACAUGGAUACCACCGCUUUAGUUGCUACUAAGAACGGCCUACCCAAUAUAAUAUUGUAGGCACCCGGGUGAUCUACAAUAAGAAAAUCAAUCAUAUGAACAACACGGUGAGGUACCUUACCAAGUGUAACGGGCAGCGUAAUGAUGCCUUUUGGUAUAACCAUAUCUCCGGCGAACCCAAUAAGAGGCGUAGCAUAUGGGGUGAUCUUUAGCGACUCAAUCAAUAGUUGAUCCAAGGCGCUUUUGAAAAUGAUGUCAACGGAGCUACCGGUAUCUACGAGAGUUCUUGCUACCUUACCAGUGGCAACCUUCAACGUAAUUACGAAGGCAUCAUCGUGGGGGUACGAGAUGCCCUCCGCAUCUUUUUCUGUAAAAAGGAUAGGCGGGGGAUGGUGGGGUACCUUCGGUGUACCCCAUUCAUUAAGGUUGACUUCUCUGCCCAUAUUGGUGGUUAUCGACAACGAUCUACCAUAGCCUUUGAUAGCCCUCCUAGAUUGGCCCGCUAAAGUCGGUCCGCCCAUGAUCAUUCGGACAUACACGCCUUUCUUGUGUCCAGGGGGUACCUCUCGUUCGGGACUGCCAUCAGCUACCCGCUUGCCUUUAUCCUGUUCCGCAGAUUUCCGAGCUUCUCUCAUGCCAGCAACAAAUUCUUUGAGGUACCCGCUAAGAAUCAAAGAUUCAAUUUCUUCUCGCAAGGUGAAGCACUCGGCUGUGCUGUGACCAAAGUCCUCAUGGAACUCGCAAUACUUCAGGCUACGCUUCAUGUUGGGGUACUUCUUCAUUGGCUUAGGAGGAGUAACCAAACGUCCCUUGUAUUUUCGUGGCCAGAGCAGCUUGAUCUGGCGAAAUCAGCACUGAAGCCCCAAAAUCAGCCACUUUUGCUAUAUACUUGUCAUCCAAAAGUAAGUUGGAGGAUUUUACAUCUCCGUGAAUUAUUGGGGGGCUUGCUAAAGAAUGGAAAUAGUCAAGAGCUGAAGCAAUUUCGGCCGCGAUCCUAAGACACAUUUUCCAAGUUCUUAACGCCUGCGAACUCUUAUCAUGGAUAUAGUGAGAUAUAGUUUCAUUGGAAACAAAUUCAUAAACCAGUAGAGGCACUUUGGUUUGCAAACAUAGCCCUAAAAUCUUGACCACAUUCUUAUGGUUUAUUCGUGACACAAUACCCAUUUCCUUCGAAAUUCCUGAUUUAUCCGAAUUUUUUCUAACUCUUUAGGCUUCUUCACUGCAAUUUGGAUAUUGUCAGGUAAGACACCUUUGUAAACAGAGCCAAAACCACCUUCACCUAGAAAGUGGCUUUCAUUAAAAUUUUCGGUAGCUUUAACUAGCUCUGCGGCACUGAAAAUCCUCACUGACUGAUGCUUUAGUAUCUCACCACCAUUUUUUAAGAAGUUUUUCUGCUUUCUUCGUUCUAUACAUCCAAUGAAAAUUAAAAUUCCUAGAAUCACACUGAAUAUAACUGCUCCAAUAACUGAACAUGUUAAAAAGAAAAGAAUUAUAUAACGUAUAAUUAUAUAUGGAAAGGAAAAUGAUCCAUUAUAAGCAGCAUUCCAACUUCAUGCCCAAUCUCAAAGGAUUUUAACAUUGAAAUUUAAAAGCUUCACUUUACCUUUCUUGUAUUACUCAUUUUACCAGCUAAAUCAUCAUUUGGCAAAUACGAUGCAUAAAAUCAUUAACAUAUUAGGUACCGUGUAUCAAACUGUCAUAGAAUCUGAAAAAAUAAUUACUGUCAUGUAUCUUAAAAGGGAGAGACGACAAAACACAAACACUAAAAAAAUCUAGAUGACAAACAAUAAUAAUAAAAAUGACAAAAACAAUACUUACAGAUAAAUAAAUAAUAAAAGAAGCAAUAGAAAAUUUAGAAAGAGGACAUCAGUCAUCACCUGCAACAAUAGUGGUGAUAUGAAAUCCCCGACAAUCGGACAAUCGCAUGUAUAACUCCCAAUUGUGUUCCUACACUUCCCUUCACAAUGGUACUUUUCUUUAUCUAGGCAUUCAUUAAUGUCUGUCACACGUGCAUAAGGUGACACAUUUUUAAUGUAAAAAUUAAAGAACACUGAGAUUUAGACGGCAUGAGGCGACAAACUUUUAAUAACAAAAUUAAAGGAUACUGAUAUUUGGACCACGAAAUUAAAUAAAACGCUGACAAAAACAAUAUACAACCCCAAGAGAGUUUAGGUAUUUAAUUUUCCAACAUAAUUAACUCCGCAUCGGUUUUAGUCGGUGUUUUAUUGAUAUUUAGCCUCUUUAUAAUUUCUGUGAAUAAAAUGACUGAUUAUUAGUUAAAACAAAUAAAAAGAGAGGAAUCGAAGAAACAUACCAACACAUCCUAGAUAGGGGUUUCCUGAAAUCCUUGCUUGCAUUUGCAACGAUACCCUUUGCCAUUUUCAGAGUAAUAACAAUUAGUAUUAUCACCGCAGCCAUCAACUUUUGAAUUUGGAUCAUCCGGGCAAUUCUUUUCUUCAACUACCCAUGCAAUUGUAACAUUUGAACUUGACUUAUCUUCAGAGGCUCGAAAUUCUGCUAUAUUGAAGGUUUCGUCUGCUAAGAGUGCAUAAUCACACCGCAUGAACUCUCCCAUAUCCUCGUGAUUAUGUACGCUACGAAGAGUGAGUUCCAACGACUUGAGACUUUUGGGUAAUGGAGUCUGGGGUAUUGGGGUAUCUGAGGCAUGGCGAACGCCUCGGGGAGAGCUGCUGUCCUAAUCUCCAUAGUGAAUGGCGAUUUGUAGGUCAUUGGCGUUGGUGCAGCUGUGAUGUUUUGCUUCUCGGAGAGGAGCUUCACUUGGGCUUCCAGGUUCUCCAUCUUUUCCACAAGUUCAAGGGGUACCCUCGGUGUACCUGAUGAUGUCGCCACCAUUUGAGAAGCCCUUUUGGCGUUUAACUUCUCACGGAGAUCCUCGUGGGUACGCUUUGCACGCCUCGUACCCUGGCUACUGCGGGAAUUACAAGAGGCGGUGGAACGCUCGUCGCGGGAGCCCAUGGUUUGAAACUUAGAACGGGUACCCGAUGGCCUAAGCUUUGGCUUGCUGGCCUCGGGUACCCCUCUUCUGACCAUAGCUUGGUCGUCCGUUUGAGGUGGUGGAGCUUCUAGCGUCACUGGUGGAAGUGAACUUUCGGGUGCCCGAGAUCCGACCGCCCUAAGUAUUGCGUGGGCAAGAUCCUCAAAACGCUUGUGCGAAAUAGGUUCUUCUUCUUGGCGAACACCCGUCGAUUGCUUGACACCCUUGCCCUUACUGAUGCGGGCUACCCUUCUCGCGGGAUCACUACCUUCACUGUUGUUGUCCUCACUCAUCCUUGUAGGAUCCCCCAUUAAACCUUCGGGAGGUACGUCAGGUGCCAUGUAUUGGAGUACACACAACAACUAGUUUGGUAACUGUGGAGGAGGCUUUUUGUGCGUCUCCCCACAGGCGGCGCCAAUUGUUUUCAACUGAUUUUGGGGUAGGAAAAUCCAAAAUCAAUCUAGAACAAUAAAUUUAUAUUUUUGGGGGAGAUGGGGUACCUCACUAGUUUAUUUUGUGCGGUGCGGUGUAUCUGAAAUUCGGGGGAGGUGAGAAGGGGAGAAAGAGUGGUAACAAUGGUGAAAGGUCAGAAACGAGAGAGGUGUCCUUCCAAAUGAGUCUCACGCUUGCAAAACAGUGAAAUAGAGGUUAGAGGUGAAGCCGGGGUACCCCGGCGUUCACACUCCGACGCUCAAGUUAGCAAACUCAAGCUUUAAUGGUAAAGAGAGCUGGUCAGCCCUCUGUAAAUUUAGGGUUUAAGGUUGAAGAAAACCUAUUUUUUGGAGUGUGAGUGUUAUUGGUGAGUGAGAGCCUGGUGAAGAGUGAAACCUAGGCGCCUUUAUAUAUGGAGUACCUUAGCUGCCACGUGGCAUACCCCUUUUUGGCUAACGUCCUUUUACCUCUUUAUAAUUUUUCGGGUCAUUAUCUGCAUGUUAGCGGCAUAUCUCAUCUUUUGGAAACGUGGCGCGCGCUGGAGAGUGGUCCGGGGUACCUCUGCAGUAGCUGUCGGGUAGGCGGCUGGGGACCACUGUCCUUGGGACAGUGUCCUUCACUUUUGGCAGAGGUAGCAGGCGGCUGUCCCCCCCUUUUGAUACGACGUUCUUGAUUCCUAAUUCUGACAAAAUCAAAUAAUAUCUUUUAGGAGGCGGAGACGUUUCUCAUGGCGGAUAUUUUCGGCGGAUUCUCUUACAUCCGCUUUGCCGGGUACCUCGAGUUACAUGGGGUACCCCCUAUUACGCGGGGUACCCCUAUUUGUAUGGGGUAUCUCUAUUUGUGUGGGAUACCUCUAUUUAUACGGGGUACCUCUAUUUAUACGGGGUACCUCUAUUUAUACGGGGUACCUCAAGUCAUGCUGAGCACCUCGGAUUAUGCAAGGUACCUCCGAUUAUGCUGAAAUCAUUCCAUUGGCUGACACGUGGCGCUCUAUUACCUUUCCUAUUUUCCCUCAAACACAAACUGAUGUGAUGCGCCCCUGCUCAGCAAGAUAGGAUAUUUCUGGGUUCUAGCAUGCUCAACUCGGCUGGAAUCUCAUUCUCCCACUUAAAUUUAUGUAGACCUUUGAUGUGUAUACAAGGCAUUUCAAUUAUGGAUCAGUUUUAUUAUUGAAAUUGUGCAACUGUAGUUUAAAAAUUAUAAUAUUAAAGUGUUUGAUAAAUACUAACUGCAGUAUCUUAGAAAUUAUGUUUAUAUGAUUUUUCACUUUUAUUAUUUAAAUAUUAUAUUUACUAUAUAUUAUUAAUUUUUAUUUCAUAAUUAUAAUUUUUUUUUUACAACUGCUGUAUCUUAAAAGCUAUAGCAUGUUAUGUGAAUUUGCAUUCUAGGCUUGUAACUUCAUACGUCAUUAAUCAGACAUUGCCAACAUAAUGAUGGUUGUCUGCAGGCUUUUGUUUCAUUCUUUUCAAAUUUCUGCUUCAAAUAUCAACACUAUUUUAUUCACACAAAGGACCCAAAGAGGCCUUUGUUGAUAUUAAAUAAAAUAGCGUUCUAACGUAGCAUUCUCUACUACUAAUUCAGUGGAAUGUUGGUGGAAAUGAUUUCAAAAUAUUUAAUUCAAUGAAUAUGAGAAGAUAAAGAGUUUUUUUUCCUUUUUUUUAACGAUAUUAAUAAUAAACUAUAAAAAAAUUAAACUUAUUACUCAUAACAACCCACUCAACUUGUUUAAAUUGAAUUGGAUCGGAUGUAUUGAGUUGGAUUGAGUUUGCUCAUCCCUAAUUAUUAGUACAGUAAAAUUAAAAGGACAAGGAGUAUACUAAGAAAAAUUAAUUAAUUUUACAUUUUAGUUACAUGAUAAAUCGUCUGUUACUUAUCAUUCCCUUAUAUUUGCAUGAUUAAGAAAAAAAUACUUGAUGAAAAAUUCUAGUAUUUUUUAAAACUUAAUUACUUAGAUUAAAUUUAUUCGUGUUUACUUGACUUCAGGGAUUUAAAGAAUAGCUUUCACCCUCUUUAUUUAAUUAGUUGUAUGAGUUCAACUUCUAGAGAGAUAAAGAGUUAAAAUUUAUAAUUAAACUCUACACCCAACUCUAUGUUGAUGCCCAAAAAUGACCUCAAGAGCUGAAUUUAUUUUCUGAGGAAUAACAUCACGAAUCCAAGCUCAAACUACAGCUCAACUACAACUUCCUAUACCUGCCAACCACAGAACACGGUUAAGACACGCCGGUGGGGGUUCCGACGGGAAUACUCCUAUGCUUAAGUCAGACGUUUUGUAUAUAAGAAAAAAGAAAAUGAAAAGGAGGAACUGGAAAUGAAUUAAAAUCAAGGAAUUCUUCGGUGGUUGUGUUGUCAAUCUCGUAGAAAAUAUGAAGGUUUUAAGACUAGUCACUUGUAGAGUUUUUUAGUUAAUUUUUCUACCACUUUUCUCUUAUGCUCUUUUCAACUUAAAUAGGCUCUCGGUUGUGGGUGGUUAUCUCAUUAGUUUUAUUCCACUCUCUUGAGCAGUUGCAGCUAGUUUUCAACUGAAGGCGGUUUGAUAAGUUGCGUUAUGUAACUUUCUCAAAAUAUAUGCCACGUGGUCCUGACAAAUAAUAUUUCGUGUCAAGCUAGCACAUCCUCAGGUCGGACAAACAAGUUUCCAGCUCAAACUACUUCAUUUCCAUAUUAGAUUAGUAGAUUUUUAUGUCGCUCGUAUGGACUUAGAGUUGUAUUUAUAAACCAGCUCGUCCACAUUGACUCUAGAUUGUACUUAUAAACCACAUCGCUAACAUAGGCUCUUAGUUGUACUCAUGAGACCAACUCAACAACAAUUGGUUCCAAGUAAAGGUUAGAAUCAACUGUAUUUCUCGACAUUGUUAGAAAAAAUCCAAUCUCAACACCAGUCCCUUAAUUUUUAAUAUCGAGAAGCUAUUACUGGUGUUGGAAAGUAAUUAUUGAAAAAAUAAAAAAUAAAAAUCGUAAACCUAACACCAAUCAUUUAGUUUUCAAUAUCAGAAAAUUAUUACUGGUGUUGGAAAUUAAUUAUCGAAAAAAAAAUUGAAAAUAUUUUCGCAAACCCAACACUAGCACCCUAGUUUCCAAUACUGAAAAGAUACGAUUGGUGUUGGAAACUUAAACGUAGGACAAUAUGAGCUCGAGCUGAGCAAAGAAUGCGUAGCUAAACAUAAAUAAUGCCGAGUUGAAUGGGCUAAAAAAUUGUAAAAAAAAAAUUGCAUUGCUCAUAGAGAAGAGAAAAAAGGACGAAAAAGUAAAAGAAAUAAAUAAAUAAGGCAAUAAAACAAAAGUAAAUAAAUAAAUGAAUGAGACAACAAAACAAAAGUCAUGUCACGUGAGUAGAGGAAAGCAAAAUUUAAGUCACAAACUUUUGUCUUAUAGCCAAUAAUAAGGUAAUCUCGGCCAUUAGUUGCCUAAGGGUUUAGAUAAUGCAAUUUAUUAUAGUUGUUUUUGUUCGUUUGCGUACCUUCUCCUAUUGCUCUAUUCAUCAAUGGGAAUAGGUGCUAGCUUUAAUAAUUUUACUCGAAUAAUUUUAUACAUAUACGUUUACUCAAAAAGUUAGCAAAGGCAAGAGAAAAAUGCACGAAAUUAUUAAAACGAAAAAUAUUGAAUUACAAAACAGCAAUUUUAUGCAACUUUUGUGCAAAUUUCAUUAUUGUUUUGACUAUCCAAACGGAGCUAUGCAUCCUCUUUUAAAUGACUCAACCAAAUUGUCCAAUGCAACACGAGAUGACCCACCAUCCCUCAUCGCUGCUGCAGCUGCUUCUUUCAUUGCCACCGCACGUUCCUUAACAGCUCUACCUUUCUCCGAGUCCAUCAACUCACUAACUCGCUGCUCCAACUCGGCUGAGCUCACCAAUCCGUCUCCUUCUUCUGACCGAGUCACCGCCAAACCCACCUUCAUUUCCUCCACCACGACCGCUCUAAUCAUCUUUUGCUCGGCAUACAGAGGCCAAGCCAACAUUGGCACCCCGGCACAAACACCUUCAAGCACCGAGUUCCACCCGCAGUGAGUCACAAACCCGCCAACUGACUCAUGAUUCAGUACCUCCACUUGCGGCGCCCACGAUUCAACCACGAGCCCCCUAUCUUUUGUUCUAUCCAAGAACCCUUCAGGUAAAAGAGACUCCAAUGAGCUUCGGUUCUCGACGCUGUCGGGAGCUGGAGCUCUCACGACCCAAAGAAACUUAACACCACUUCUCUCCAACCCAAUGGCCAUUUCUUUUAACUGCUUACAAGAGAACGAUCCCAAGCUUCCGAAACAAAGAAACAGGACGCUUCGACUCGGUUUCGAGUCAAGCCAGCUCAAGCAUUCAUGUCGAUCACGUCCUCGAUUCUCUCCAUUUCCUCGACCAACCACGGGCCCUAUGCAAUAUAAAGGCGGCGACGUAUCCCCUGGAGUGCAUUGUCCUUCUAGCAUCGCUUUGAUAGCUCUCUCUUCGAGCAAUUCAAAUGUGUUUACAAUAACCCCCGCAGAUUUUGCCAUCUGGAUGCCGGUGUCGACUAAGCCCUUGUAUACUUUACCCUCACGAUCAUGCAUGGGUAACGCCAUGUCUCUUGCUGGAAAAGGCGGAAAUCCGGGGAAAUUUAAAAGCGCGCUGCCGAGUUCUCUGAAGCUCUUUGUGGUGUUUUUAUGAAGAGUUGGUAAGUAGAGGUUAGCAGCGAGUACGCUUCCUGCGGUGGUGAAGUAAUAGUAAGUAGGGAUACUGAGAGUACUCGAGGAAACUUGAAACGCGGGGUUGCAAAGGAAAUCGAUAACAAAGGCUUUCAGGUUUGAGCGUUUGGAAAUUGUUAUUAGGGUUUCGUGGAGAUUAGGGUUGUUGAGCUCGCCAAGCUCGUACACUAAGGCUGGGAAGUCAGCUGGUGAACGUAAAGUGUCGGGUAGGCCGGAAACCGGAGGAGGGAGUUGGUGGAAGGUAACGGAGGGAGCUGUGGCGGAGACGGAGGCGAUGUAAUCAUCGGUACCGGCGCUUGAUACGAACGGGGCGGUGGGGAUUAUGAUGUCAAUGGAGAAGCAAGGGUGGUACGUGAGUAUCAAUUUUCCUAAUUCAACCAUGGAGUUUAAGUGACCUCUUCCUGGAGAAGUAUAAAAGACAAUCGUAUCUUUCAUUUUUUUUAAUCUUUAAUUUUACAAGUUAAAAUAUUUUUAAAAAAAACAGUAGAAAUGGUGAGAAAUUAUAGUGAGAGAGAAUGAGAGUGUGAUAAAGGGCUCCUUUGUGUUUGCUAAUCGCAAUGCAAUUAUGCAUCGAAGCCCACGACGAAAUACUGGAAGCCUGUAGGUUACAGGGUUAAAUGGGCAAAGAAUUGUUGGUUGAAGUAAAGGGAGCUUAAAGAAACUUUCACAAGUGGAGGAGGAUUUUGGGGAAAACGAUUCAGUCUCUUCUACUCGGCUUCAAUGCCUUGCGUAAGUGUAGCAUGUGGGCUGAAUUAUUUAUCAAAACGAGAAGGACUUGCGAGUUGAGGUCACUUAGUUGCCAGGUUGUGAACCCAUCAGACAAUCACAGUAUGCUGACAUAAUUGACCAACCUGUUUUCUAGCCACAUAGUUCAACUACCCACUAUGACUUUUCAAAGCAAAUGACGUGGCCUAUGUUUACACCGCUUGAUUUACCUGUCCCCUACCCCGCUCUGUUUUCUCCUAAUCUUUAACUAGGCUCCACCGUAUUAAAAAUAAAAAUAAAAAACAAAAACUAUCCCUUAAUUCUUCUAGAUUACCAGAGGGAAGUGGUGGAAAGUGACGGAAGGAGUGGUGGCGGAGACGGAGGCGAUGCAACCGUGGAUACAGGAGCUUGUUUCGAAUGGGGCGGUGGUGCGGAUUAUGGUAGCAAGGGUGGUAAUUAAGUAUCAAUUUUCCUAAUCCUACGAUGAAAUUUAAGUGACAUUUUUCUUGGAGAAGGAUACAAAAUAAAGUAUUCUUUCAUUUCUUUACCUAUAAUUUAAAAUUAUUAAAUGCUAAAAAAAAGGUCGGAGCUUAUAGAAAAAAGUUUAGAAUAUUAAUAUAUUAGUUUUAUUGGUUUCUUUAUGAUAUAUUUACCGGUAAUUAUUUUUAAAGAUACAACGUUAUCAAAUUAGCUUUACAAAUAAUUCAUGUGACAAUUUAAUUUAAAUUUGUGAUCGUAUGUACAAUAAAAUUAAAUUUAUAGAGAGAAAACUCCUUAAAUUUUUAUCCUUUUAGAAGUAAGAAUAAUAUAUUAGGCAUGUGAACCUUCCAUUGCGAUUAGGCCAAUCAAAAUUUGAACAUAUGAAGUCUGCAACAGUCACUUCAAUUGCGAUUAGGCCAAUCAAAAUAUGAACAUAUGAAGUCUACAACAGUCACUUCCAUUGCGAUUAAGCCAAUCUUGUAGCUAUAUUCGUGGCAUGUUAAUGCUGACCAAUUUUAAUUUAAAUUAUUGGCUCGGCGAGUACUGAAGUACAAUUAAUCUGUCCGCGAAAUCGGAAUAAAAUAUUUGUGUCCCAAUUUACUGGCACAUUACAUGUCAAUUGAUUAAUGAUAGCAUAAAGAGGUGUGCUAGCGACAGUCGGUCGCCCUUGUGGGCCACUAACUCAGUCGCUCUUUUAUUUUAUGGGCACGUGUUUGAUAUUUUGGUUCUGUGUAAUUUUAAAUUAAUGUUAAUAUCUUUAAGUUUUGUUUUAAUAUUAUUAUUUUUAUGUAUAACGAAUUUACCACAAUAUCCUUAUCAUUUCUCCCUCUCGCCAGGCUUGUUCUCCCUGCCACUGCAGCUCCUUCUCUGCUUCUUCAAUUUCUUUUCUCUCUCUACUGGAAGCUUGGAAAAAAGAGAGAAAAGGGAAAAAAAAAAAUUUGAAGUCAAGUCUCCUUUUUAGCCAAAAUAAAAUUUUAAAAAAUAUUUUACUUUAAAAAAUAAAUAACAAAAAUUAUCCUAGCCAUGUAGAUCCGAUUACGCACCUAAAAUAAAAUAUCAUAUCAAAUCUGAAGUAGGAGAAGUGGAGAGACGGUCAUCUUUCAAGCAACGAUAAUAUUUUGUUAUCAUUUCUUUUUUUAGGAGACUUUGUUUUUUUAAAUCUUUUUUCCCCUUGUCUUUUUUUUUUUUUCCCUUCCAAUCUUUCGUUAAAGGAGAAAAGAAGGAAAAGAAAUUGACGAAGAAGAGAACAAUAAGAAGAGAAAGCUUGGCAAGGAGGAGAAAGGAUAAGGAUGUUUUGGUAAUUUCACUAUACAUAUAUAUAAUAAUAUUAAAAUAAAACUAAAAGAUAUUAAUAUUUUAACAUUUAUUUAAAACUAUACAGAACCCAAAAUAUCAAACACGUGUCAGCAAAUGAAGUUAGCGGCUGAUGGGCGAUUGUCGCUAACACUCCUCUACUAUUAAAAAGCCAGCUAUUAUUAAACCCAUCACAUGUCAUUUCUUUAAAAUGUUGUAUUCAAGAAGCAUAUGAAGUCUCCUUCAAUUUUUUUAAAACUUCUAACUAUAUUUCAAUGGAAUUCUCACUAAACCUGCUUAACAAUUAACUAAAAUAUGUAGCUGGCAAAUUAAUUUCAACUUUUGCUUACGAGGAAAUACUACUAAUCAAGUUUUUUACAAUGAGGAUCAAAAUUCUCAAUUAAAAUAGGCGACGUUUUCUCGUAUUCUAUAAUUUCUCUUAAGCAUAUGGUUAAAUUAUUAUUUGGCAGUCGUAUGUAAAUGAAAGAAAUUCACACUUCUUUGUAAUUAAAAUUAUUCUCAACAUUAUUUUGCUCUUCCAUAAAUUCAAUAGGAGUCACUUUAUAUGUGUUCUAAGAUUAAUAAAAAAUAAAUAAAGAUAUCAAUUCAGGGUUAAAAAAAAUGUAACGGUGAGUGUAAAGAUGGGCUUAAAGAAUACAAAUAUUUUAAUAAUUUAAUUUUUUUUUUCCAAGUGUGGAUUUAGUGAGUGGGUUUGUGUGUUCAAAUGCAUAUUAUUAUGUAAUAAAAAAAUACAAAUAAUUAUUACGAAGUGUUUGUACUAUGGACUUUUCGGAUAAGCCAAUUAACGACUAUUGCUAAAAGCCCCUCACUGUAUUCAUGCAAGUGAUCCAAGGCCGUAUCGUAGCUCAAGCACCAAACAGCUUAAUUUAUGUUUGGGCCGGGUCGGAUUAUGGACUUUGGACUGAAUUUCUUUUUGGUACUUUUUGAGAAAAAUAACAAGAAGACACUAAAAUACAGCAGUCACAAACUCUCAACUAUUGUAUACAAAUAGAUAACAUAAUAAAAAUAAAUGAUAUGGAUGGUACGGUGUUUUAUUUAAUUAAAUCCAUGCUAUUUAUACCACGUGAGUUGUACAAUAAAUUUGUAGUUAGCCACAUCUAGUUCUCGUAAUUGUGCCCUUCAUAGAUUACCUUAUCUAAGCCCUUAGGCAAUCGUAUGGCCGAGAUUACCUUAGUAUUGACUAUAAGACAAAAGUUGGUGACUUAAAUUUUGCAUUCCUCUACUAACGUGACAUGACUUUUGUUUUGUUGCCUUAUUCAUUUAUUUCUUUACUUUUGUUUUAUUACCUUAUUUAUUUAAUUCUCUACUUUUUCGUCCUUUUUGUCUUUUCUCUAUGAUCAAUGCAAAAUUUUAACAAUUUUUAAGCCCAUUCAACUCGGCAUCAUUCAUGUUUAGCUAAGCAUUCUUUGGUCAGCUCAAGGUCAUAUUAUCCCCCGUUUAAGUUUCCAACACAGAUCAUAUCUUCUCGAUAUUGGAAACUAAGCGACUAGUGUUCGGUUUACGAAUAUUUUUCUAUUUUUUUUAAUAAUUAAUUUCUAACACUCGUAAUAACUUCCUGAUAUUAAAAACUAAGGGAUUGAUGUUGAGAUUAGUUUUUUUUUUUUGACCCAAUGCCGAGAAAUACAAUUGACCCUAACUUGUUAGGAAUCAAAUGCUAUUGAACUGACCUCAUGAGUACAACCAAAAACCUAUGUUGACAACCUGAUUUUAUAAGUACAACUUCGAAUUAAUGUGGACGACCUUAUUUAUAAAUACAACUCUAGGUCUAUGCGAGCGACAUAAAAAUCCACCAAUAUGAUUUGGAAAUGAAGUAAUUCAACCUCGAAACUUGUUUGUCCAACCUGAGGAUGUGCUAGCUCGACACGAAAUAUUAUUUGUCAAGACCACGAGGCCUAUAUUUUGGGGAAAUUACAAACCACAACUUGUCAAACCGUCUUCAACUGACGACUAGCUAUAACUGCUCAAGAGAAUGGGAUAAAACUGAUGGAGUAACCAUCCACAACUGAGAGUCUAUUUUAAGUGGAAAAGAGCAUCAAAGGAAAUGAUUAGAAAAAUUAACUAAAAAGCUCUAUAAAUGACUAGUCUUAAAACCUUCUUAUUUUUUAUGAGAUUAACAACACAACCACCCAAGAAUUCUUUGAUUUUAACUCAUUUCCAAUUCCUCUUUUUCAUUUUCUUUUUUCUCAUAUACAAAACAUCUUACUUAAGCAUCAAAGGAUUCUUGUCGAAACCCCCACCAGUGUGUAUUAACCGUGUUCUAUGGUUAGUAGGUAUAAGAAGUUAUGGUUGAGCUGUAGUUUGAGCUUGGAUUCGUGUUGUUAUUCCCUAGACAAAUAAAUUCAAAUGUUAAGGCAGUUUUUCUGCAUCACCACCCUCCUUAAAAGACAUUCAUUAAAUAAUAAUCCUUUGGUAAUUAGCCCAUGAGCGUACUAAGAAUAGUAAAGGAAAUCUACGGAAUGACAUACAAUUGUUAAUAUUCCAAAUUAAAGAAAAACAUCAUCGUUUAUUUUUAAAAGAACGAGAGAGAAUCACAGGUGCUAAUUUUUACUCGAAUAAUUUUAUACAUAUACAUUUACUCAAAAAGUUAGCAAAGGAAAAAAAAUGCAUGAACUUAUUAAAAACAAAAAAUAUUGAAUUACUAAACAGAAAUUUUAUGCAACUUUUGUGAAAACUUCAUUAUUGUUUUGACUGUCCCAACGGAGCCAUGCGUCCUCUUUUAAAUGACUCAACCAAAUUGUCCAAUGCAACACGAGAUGACCCACCAUCCCUCAUCGCUGCUGCAGCUGCUUCUUUCAUUGCCACCGCACGUUCUUUAACAGCUCUACCUUUCUCCGAGUCCAUCAACUCACUAACUCGCUGCUCCAACUCGGCUGAGCUCACCAAUCCGUCUCCUUCUUCUGACCGAGUCACCGCCAAACCCACCUUCAUUUCCUCCACCACGACCGCUCUAAUCAUCUUUUGCUCGGCAUACAGAGGCCAAGCCAACAUUGGCACCCCGGCACAAACACCUUCAAGCACCGAGUUCCACCCGCAGUGAGUCACAAACCCGCCAACUGACUCAUGAUUCAGUACCUCCACUUGCGGCGCCCACGAUUCAACCACGAGCCCCCUAUCUUUUGUUCUAUCCAAGAACCCUUCAGGUAAAAGAGACUCCAAUGAGCUUCGGUUCUCGACGCUGUCGGGAGCUGGAGCUCUCACGACCCAAAGAAACUUAACACCACUUCUCUCCAACCCAAUGGCCAUUUCUUUUAACUGCUUACAAGAGAACGAUCCCAAGCUUCCGAAACAAAGAAACAGGACGCUUCGACUCGGUUUCGAGUCAAGCCAGCUCAAGCAUUCAUGUCGAUCACGUCCUCGAUUCUCUCCAUUUCCUCGACCAACCACGGGCCCUAUGCAAUAUAAAGGCGGCAACGUCUCCCCUGGAAUGCAUUGUCCUUCUAGCAUCGCUUUGAUAGCUCUCUCUUGGAGCAAUUCAAAUGUGUUUACAAUAAUCCCCGCAGAUUUUGCCAUCUGGAUGCCGGUGUCGACUAAGCCCUUGUAUACUUUACCCUCACGAUCAUGCAUGGGUAACGCCAUGUCUCUUGCUGGAAAAGGCGGAAAUCCGGGGAAAUUUAAAAGCGCGCUGCCGAGUUCUCUGAAGCUCUUUGUGGUGUUUUUAUGAAGAGUUGGUAAGUAGAGGUUAGCAGCGAGUACGCUUCCUGCGGUGGUGAAGUAAUAGUAAGUAGGGAUACUGAGAGUACUCGAGGAAACUUGAAACGCGGGGUUGCAAAGGAAAUCGAUAACAAAGGCUUUCAGGUUUGAGCGUUUGGAAAUUGUUAUUAGGGUUUCGUGGAGAUUAGGGUUGUUGAGCUCGCCAAGCUCGUACACUAAGGCUGGGAAGUCAGCUGGUGAACGUAAAGUGUCGGGUAUGCGGGAAACCGGAGGAGGGAGCUGGUGGAAGGUAACGGAGGGAGCUGUGGCGGAGACGGAGGCGAUGUAAUCAUCGGUACCGGCGCUUGUUACGAACGGGGCGGUGGGGAUUAUGAUGUCGAUGGAGAAGCAAGGGUGGUACGUGAGUAUCAAUUUUCCUAAUUCUACCAUGGAAUUUAAGUGACCUCUUCCUGGAGAAGUAUAAAGGACAAUCGUAUCUUUCAUUUUUUUUAAUCUUUAAUUUUACAAGUUAAAAUAAAAAAAACAGUAGAAAUGGUGAGAGAUUACAGUGAAAGAGAAUGAGAGUGAUAAAGGGCUCCUCUGUGUUUGCAAACCGCAAUACACUUUUAUGCAUCGACACCCACGACGAAAAAGUGGAAGCUUGUAGGCUACAGGUUUAAAAGGGCAAAGAAUUGUUGGUUGAGAGAAUUUGGUUGAAGUAAAGGGAGCUUAAAGAUACUUUCACAAGUGGAGGAGGAUUUUGGGGAAAACUAUGUGGGUUUGAUGGUUUCUUCUACUUGGCUUUAAUGCCUUUUUGUAACUUUUGGGCUGAAUUAUUUAUAGAAACCAGAAGGACUUGCGUGUUGGGCUCUGUUAUCACUUAUUUGACAGUUUGCUAACAUAAUUGACCUAACAUAUAUUUUAGCCCGCAUAGUACAACCUACCCAAUUGAUUUUUCAAAGCAGAUGACUUGGCCCAUGUUUACGCCGCUUGAUUUAACUAUCCCUUAACUCUUCUAGAUUACUAGAGGGCACUGUUGGAAAGUGACGGAGAGAGUGGUGGCGAAGACGGAGGCGAUGCAACCGUGGAUACUGGAGCUUGUCUCGAAUGGAGCGGUGCUAAUCAAGUGAGUAUCAAUUUUCCUAAUUUUACAAUGAAAUUUAAGUGACAUCUUCUUGGAGAAGGAUGCCUAUAAUUUAAAAUUAUUGGAUGCUAAAAAAAAAAAUCAUAGCUCAUGGAAUAAAGUUUAGAAUAAAUUAGUUUUAUUAAUUUUAAGUAAUUAUUUUAAAAGAUACAAUAUUAUCAAACUAGUCCUCCAUAUGAUUCAUCUGUCAAUUUAGUUUAGGUUUAUAAUCGUAUAUGCAAUAAAGUAAAUUUAUGCAAAGAAACAUCCUUAAACUUUUAUCCUUUUGGGGGUAAGAAAAAUAUAUUAGGUAUGUGAACAUUAAUUGAUUGUAAGUUAUUAAUUUAUAAAGCAUUCCUAUAAUGUCAUGUUCAAAACAGUCAAACAGAUCAAAAUGAAUUAUAAUUCAUUGCGAUUAAGCCAAUCUUGUAGCAAUAUUUGUGGCAUGUUAAUGCUGAUCAAUCUUAAUUUAUAUCAUUGGCUCGUCGAAUAUUGAAGUACAAUUAAUAUGUCUGUGAAAUUGGAAUAAAAUAUUUGUAUCCCAAGUUUACUAGCACAUGAAAUGUCAUUCCCAUUGGGUUAUGAAAUUAUUUGAUUUGCUUAAUGAUAGUAUAAAAAGUCAAUUAUUAUCAAACACAUGACAUAUCAUUUCUCUAAAAUGUUAUAUUCAAGAAGUAUAUGAAGUUUCCUUCAAUUUUUUAAAAAUUUCUAACUAUAUUUUAAUAGAACUCUCAUUAAACCCACUUAACAAUUAACUCAAAUUUCUAGGUGGCAACUUAACUCCAACUUUUGCUAAUGAGAAACAACUACUAAAUUAAGUUUUUUUACAAUAUGGAUCAAAGCUCUCAAGUAAAAUAGGCGACAUUCUCUAAUAUUCUGCAAUUUCUUUAAGCACAUGGUUAAACUAUGUAUUUGGCAUUCGUAUGUAAAUGAAAGAAAAUCACAAUUCUUUGUAAUUAAAAUUAUUCUCAACAUUAUUCUACUCCUUCAUAAAUUCAAUAGGAGUCACUUUAUAUGUGCUCUAAGAUUAAUAAAAAAAAUAAAGAUAUCAAUUCAGGGUUUAAGAAAAACAUAACAAUCAGUGUAAAGAUGGGUUCAAAGAGUAAAACUAAUUUAAUAAUUAAAUAUUUUUUCCAAAUGUGGAUUUUAGUGAGUAGCUUUGUGUGUUCAAAUACAAAUUAUUAUUACGAAGUGUUUAUACUAUGACUUGAAUAUUUUGAAUUUUCUUUUUAGCAAGGAGCAAAAAUAUAGAAAUUGCUCGGUGGAUGAAAGAAACCUAACGGUUUUCUGAUUGAAGAUCGGAUGUGAUGAGUAAAUCUAACGGUAUUUUUCAUUGAAGAUCGGAUAUGGAAUUGUAGAUGUGGAAUGACAUUUUCGCUUGUGGAACGGUAGUUGUGCUGAUGCUUGUAGAUCCUUGUCCUCAAGCAUCAACAUCAUCUGAUAAAUCGAUCACAAAGACUGAACUUUUCGAAUAAGCCAAUCGGCAACUAUUGCUAAAAACCCCUCACGAAAAACUAAGCACGCACCUACUUUCACUCAUGCAAGUGAUCCAAGGCCGAAUUGUAGCUCAAGCCCAAACAGGUUAAUUUAUGUUUGGGCCCGAUCGUAUUAUGGACUUUGGACUGAAUUUCUUCUUGGUACUUUUUGAGAAAAAUAACAACAAUACAGUAAAGAGUGGGACUACUGGCACCCCAAUAAAUUUCUCAUAACACCUCUUUUCUUAACUCUAUUAAAAUAUUUUAAAAAUUAUAAAAUUCUUUUAACACCUCCAUUAAUAAUAAAAAUACCCUUAAAUAAAAUUUAUUGUGUAAACUCUAUUUUUUAUUUUUUAUUAUUAAAACACAUUUCAACAAUCAGAUCUCUUCCAUUUAAAAGAAAAAGACAAUGAGUUUUUAUUCUCUCCAUUAUAGCCAUCGGUCUCACCCGAAAAUUAGAGAAAAAGACAAUAUUUUUUUAUUUAUAAAAUGAACAAAAAAUAUUUGACUUUUGAGUGAGACUUAAUUAGAAAUUAUCCUUUUAUAUAAUUUGAAUAGAGGUUAAAAUUGUAAAACAAUUAAAGAAAUUUUAAGAGCUGUUUAGAAGGGUGCCAACAGUCUCACUCUACAGUAAAAUACAGAAGUCACAAACUCUCAAUAGCAACAAUUUUAUACAAAUUGAUAACAUAAUAAAAAUAAAUCACAUGCAUCAUUCAUACGGUGUUCGCGUCAGUUGUACAACAAAUUUGUAAUUAGCCACAUUUAGUUUUCGUAAUUGCGCCCUUCACAGAAUGGUUUAAUUAUCACAUUAUCUCUCCGAUCCGAAUAAAUCAAUGCGGAAUCAUUAUAAAUUAAUGUAAUCUUCAUGGAAUUCUGGUUUAUUAUCAAAGGCAGCAAUUUGAGCUUCGAAAAGAAGCUUGCUAGAGAGAGUUUGCUAGAGAGAGCCGAUCGUCUUGUUUUGUUGUUCUAUUUGAAAGCUGCUGAGGGAACAAGAAACAGACGGCGAGCUGCUUAAGUAAAUUACCGAGUGAAGUCAGCACCUCGCAAUAUGAGACUAGACAAGCCAACAAUAAGUUCACGUGGUGGAUUUGGUGCAGCGCCCGUGAUCAUUCACUGGUUCUGGAUAGCAGACAAAUCACAGCAUUUUUAGCACCCGACAAAACCCCAUUGAUGAUGAAAGACAGCGAUAGCCCUUGGAUUCGUCACUCACUCUGUGCAUCAAUUAUCUUAAUUAUAAUAUGGAUAGGGACCCGUGACACAUUGUGAGAAGCUUGUGGGUCACCAAUUAUAAGCAAUGUAUCUUUCUCAUCCCACCCAUUUUUCUUUUUUUUUAAAAGUACAAUGAUUAAUUUUAGCCCAUCAAAUUAUUGUGUCAAGUCGAUGAAGACGAACGAGGAAUAUACAUAUAUGUAUAUAUAUUUUCUAGAUUUUUGAUAAAAAUGCGAACGUCCGUACUUAAAAAAAAUUUCAUUAAUUAAUAAUCUCAAAAACAGGAAGAGCAUACAUGAUUAUUCAUCUUUUUACUGUAAUUUCCAGCAUUUCGAUCACUUCUUCUCUUUUGACAGCAGAGAAGGAUUUCUGUUUAGAAUUAUAAUGAUACACGUACACUCACGUUACUUACAAAACAAAAUGGAAACAAUUAUACAUUUUACAAAACGUAGUAGGAAAAUUCCCGUUAGGUUGAAGCAUAUAUUGUAUUGACAAUAUACUGGACGAACAAAUUUAAUUACAAAACUGUCAAUCAAACGAGCUUUACUGUCAUAUUUCAAAUUAUUGAUUUCAUCCAUGGAAUGAAACCCAACAAAGAAAUAUAUGACGCAGAAAAUUGACUUCGGUUCUUGAGAAUUUACGCCUAUUUCUUAGAUUUUGAAACCCUCCUGAUCAAAACAACGAAACAAAGCAGACGAUAUAAUACAAAGAAGCCAAUCAAGAAGUAAAUAUUUGUCCAUCUCUGCCUCUCAUGUAGCCCUCUAUUUUGCAACACAUCACCUCCAGUCACCAUGCACGUUGUGUUCUCUUGGUACCAUAGUAGACACUUGGACGCAAGGCAGGAAUACUCAUUGAUAAGAAGCGCGUCGAGGGCGUACUUGUACAUUGAAAAGAAGUGCAUGAAUAGCCAAUACUUGGGCAUGCUGUCCUUUUUGAUGAAGUAGCCAGAGAAGAGAAAAAACGCACCAAGAAAUAUUGUCACGAGUGAAGUUCCCGCAAUGUAAUUUGGUGCAAGAGAGCUCAGGAAAAGCACAAAUGAAUUAGCCAUCAGGAUUAUGACCCAUAUGACCAAAACAAAGUAAGCAAAGGCUUGCCAUGAAGCACAAAGCCCCACCAAGAAGUAAACUGAGACUGAGUAAAUGAUUGCAACGGCAAGCAAGUAUGGCAAGAACACAAGGGUAUUCGCUAUGAGGUAACUCGAAAGGCGAUAGACUCCACUUGAAGUCUCUCUCAAUAGAAUUGGCCUUUCAUUGAUAAAGAUUGGGAGAGUUUCAGUUGUCGAGGAGAGGAGAAAAGUGAGAGUGAAGGCAAAGAGACCAAACCUGUUUUCAAUUCCUUGCUUGUCAUACCCAACAUUGAUAAAAAUAGUGCCUAAAACAAGACCUACAAUGAGAGCUUCCAAUGUGUUUGUCAAAAGCAGCUGCCUUGUUCUGUAAAUGAUCUUCCAAAACCUGUUGUACAAAGUGCAAACUUCUUGGAGCCUUGAGCUUCUAUAUAUUGUCGCCGUAUGGUUCACUUCGUUAUCGCAAGGAGAAGUUGCAGAACCAUCGUCGUCAUCACCACUAGGUGGUGUGUUCAUAAGAGGCUUAGUAUCAUCAUGAAGCUGGCUUAGUAUUUCCAUUGUGUAUUCAAGGGCAUUGAGCUGAGGAGGGACAGAGAAGCCACUGGAGAGCAAAAACGUUUCAAGUGAAGCAAGUGUGCCAUGAUGAACAACAGACCCUUUUGAUAGCAGAAGGAUUCUAUCAAUGGUGGAGAGGAUUUUGAAGCUGGGUUGAUGGAUGGAUAAGAUCACAGUGCGGUGACGCGAGGCAGAGAUGGAUUUGAGGGUCUGCAUAACGUUGAAAGCAGAGCGACUGUCGAGGCCCGAAGUGGGUUCGUCGAGAAGCAACACGGCAGGGUCGUGAAGGAGACUUAAGCCUAUGGAGACACGUCUACGCUCACCGCCUGAUAGAUUAUGAGCGAGCCUUGUGCUGGCCAAGUGUGCUAGCCUGAGCUCAGUGAGAAGGACCGUGAUAAUUGUGUCUAUUUGGGAUGUUUUGGGGACCAAAAGGCGAGCUGAGAAGAGAAAAGUUUCGUAGACAGUGAGAGAAGGGAUGCAUGCAUCAUGCUGAGGGACAUAAGCUGAGAGCUUGCGGAAUGAUGAAGGCUUGAUGGGGGAUGAAUUGAGGAGGAUGGUGCCAUUUGUGGGGGAUGUUCGGGCCGAUAAAAUGUCGAGGAGGGUUGAUUUGCCUGCCCCGCUUGGGCCAACAAUUGCAAGGAUUUGGGAUGGAUAGGCUGUGAGAGACACGUUCUUGAGGAUGUAAGUCGGUGGCUUUAAUGAGCAAACUUCGAAAAUGAAGGAUGGUAUAAUGCUGUUAUUAGAUUUGAUGUAUGAGAUUGAAGAACCCGUCAACUUGUAGGUUUUAAGCGGUGGCGGCGGAGGCGACGGUGCCGGCAAUGGUGGUGGUAAUUCUUCUUCCAUGAGACAAGAGGAAAGUUGAAGGGAUGAUAAUUGGAAAGAGUAGGAUGAACAGAUGUGUUGGGAAUAUAAAGUCUCCAUGAGGCUAUUGGCUAUUAGAGGACUGUAAUGGUCAUGGCCAAUUCUUAAUUCAAUAUUUUUUAAUUACCAUAUUGGAGCUGAUAGAGUUGAGCGUCUAGACAUACCAAAACAAACUGACAUUCAAAGGGUACAAAUGUAAGAGGACCUAUCAAACUACAUACGAAGUACAUUCUCUCGUGUCUUUUGUUAAUUGGUUAGAGCCAUGGGGCAUGUAGUUUUUUUUUUUUUUUUAAUGAAACAUGAGUGUAUCAUGUAGUUAAGAAGUUGUAAGUUUGCAAGUUUCGUACAACUUGUCUUGUUAGAUUCGAUCGCAUACAAAUUUUAACCAUUCAUUUAGUCCUCUAGUAAAAGACUCCCCCAACAUAAAUUUAGAUAUGGAUACGACGAGACUUUUUUUUUUUUUUUUGAUUACAUGAGACUAUUGCUCAAAUUACAACUCAUAUUACAUGAGAGUAUAAUUGAUAUGUACAAUCAUAUAUUUAUACUGAGCCCUAUUGAUAUGAAUAGGGAUGGCAAAAUCCGGGUCCGGGUCCGGGUUUAGCCUUUCCGGAUGUACAAUCAUAUAUUUAUACUGAACCCUAUUGAUAUGAAUGCUGAUAUGACACCGCUCAGAUUUUUAACCCUCUCAAAUAUUCGAGGGGUGUCAAACUCCCAUCUUUAUUAAUAUUAAAAUAAUAUUUUUUUUUUUUUAUUACAUGAGACUAUUGCUCAAAUUACAGUUCAAAUUACAAGUACAAUCAUAUAUUUAUACUGAACCCUAUUGAUAUGAAUGCUGAUAUGACACCGCUCAGAUUUUUAACCCUCUCAAAUAUUCGAGGGGUGUCAAACUCCCAUCUUGGGAGAAAGACUGUCUUCACUCGAGCUCAAGGGCUCCAAGGAAGAAUAUUUAAAUUAAACCCUUACAAUGCGACUGCGGAGGCUCGAACCCCUUCCCUCACAUUUGUGAGGGAGGGGCUCUAGCCACUUGGGCUAAGCCCAAGUGGUUAUACGACGAGACUUAAUUAGAUAACAAUAAGAAAUCAUUAACCCCAAUCCACUAUAAAAAUAAAAAGUAUUGCAUUAAGUCUCAAUACUUGAUUUAAGUCCGUAUUUUGUGAACAAUUUAAACCCCAUCCCACGUAUAUAAACUUACGGAGAAACUCUAAAAUAUUGUUACAGCAGGACAAUUAUUUCAUAAACGGUGUAUAUUUUAUUAUAUUUAUAAAUAAGUAAUUUGUUUAUUGGUAGUUGUAUGGUCAGACUCGACACAGUGGCCAAACUUGUGGACUAGGAACCAUGUGAGUAAGAGCAAAUAAGCAAUAGAUGACAAAAGAUAGGCUCCAAAGAAAUUCUCGCUUUGAAAUCGAAUCACGAGUUCACAGUUUCACCUCUCUCUCUCUCUCUCAUAUGACUCUGCAAAAUUUGGCGUCUGGCCAGCCUAUGCUAGAGGAUGAGCCUAAAUUUUAAGUAACUUGUUUUAGUCCGUGAAUUCUCCAUUGUCAUUCACAAGUGCUACUUUGCUGGCAUCACGCAUGAGAGUUAACAAUUCAAUGAUACUUGUGAAGAUAAAAUGGUUUUUUAAUAAUAAUAUGCCAGUUUUAUAUUCUAUUUCUUCCCCUAGCCGGCCAAUUUUUAAGGAGUGAAGAUAAAUGCUUUUAUUUGUAUACAACUAUCAAGAGUUUUCUACGAUUAUUGAAAGCCCGUAAAUCCCAUCCGCAUAGCUUGAGGCCCAUUGUAUCUCAGUGGUAACAGACCCAAAAAGUGGUUGUGACUGUAUCAUUACAAUUCACAAUCCACCUGCCAAAAUCCAAAGUUUAUCAGCCCAAUCCCCCUUUCAAACUCAUCAAUCCUUUUGGAAUACGUUGCCUUAAUAUUGUAAUUUCAGAAGAGCAGAAUGUACAUAUCACAAGUCACAACCUAAAAAUUUCUUAACUAAAAUUAGGAAUGAUAGAAUUCCUUUGUAUCAUUGAUGUACAAGGUGCUCGUCUCAUUUAGAUUGAGAUUCAAAUAUAUGCAGUAAAAUUUCACUGUAAUUAUAAUGUUGAGGCCCAAAAUAGUUUACUAUUAUAAGAAAGUUAUAACUUAAAAAAGAUGUAAUUGCAAAAUUAUAUUACUUUGAUUUAUUUACCCUCAGUGCAAGUGAUAUAAAAAGAAAAGAAUAUAAUAUAUUGAUAAUUAAUUAAUGAAGCAUGUAAAGACAAUGAUAAAGGAGAUAGAAAUAGUUUCAAAAAAUUAGUACAUAUAUUUAUAUAAUGCUAGGAUCAUGCAAAGUCAUCUUAGAAGUCUAAAGAAAAGAAUAAAUCAUUUUCUCAACUAAUUCUAGAAAAAAAAAUUUAUUCCAUCUUGAACUUUUAAGGUAAAAAAGCUUCUUCUUUUUUUGACAUAAUAACAAUAAUUAUUAUUGUGUGGUGACAAUUUCCUUAUGACACAAUCUAAAAUUAUUAUAUUUUAUUAUAAUGUGGAUAUUAUUCUUAUUUAUAAUUAAUCUAAAUUGUGACUAAAAUUUCAUAUUACCAUAUAGUAGUAUAAACAAGUUUUAUUGUAUUUGAGUAUUAAAAAAUUAAUUGAAUGAAUAUUGAAAUUUUCAAAAAAUUAAACAAGUUUUAUCGAAUAUUGAGUAUUAUACUGAUUUUGUCUUGAAUAAUAAAUCUAAACAAAAAUAUAUUCCAAUCAUGUUUCGAUAGAAAUCUUGAAUUUUUUGAGUGACGAAUUUUUUUUUAUCAUAUUAUAUCAUAAACUACAUGUCAUACGUAUAUAACAUAUCUGUCUUAUAUAAUGUUAUUAAAAUGACCUGUCAUAUAUAUAAUUUAUUAAACCAACAUUUUUUGAAAAUUUAGAUUUUUGAACAUUUGAGAUCUCAAUCAAAAUUUUUAAAAUUUUCAAAUCCCACCCCAAAAUAGUAUUCUCGAAUUUCAUUCCAAACGGACCGAAAUCUCGAAUUUUUCGAGAUAACUAGAAACUACCUAGAAAUUACAUCCCCUUAUUUUUAAAAAAAAAAAAAAAAAAAAAAGGUAAAAAAAAAAAAAAAAAAAAAAGGUCGAAAAGCGACCUGCCCACCAACUAAAACGAAAAGGGCAAGGCAUCUGAACUGUUCCGGAAAGUUCUCCCGAAUAAAUAACUUGUAAUAAAAUUACCAACUAAACUAAAAAUAAAUAAAUUUAAUGAGACCAUAUUCUGUAAUUAUUGACGACUUUUAACGAAGAAGCAACAUGAAACAGGAAGCAUAUAUGCCCAUAUUAACCCCACCAAAAAAGGAAAAAAAAAAGCAUAACUGGGGCCCCCAAUGUUUUUUUUUUCUAAUAAUUUCUGGAAAUCGCAAAUGGGCCCCAUACAGAGAUAGACUCUAGAAAUCAUCGCCGUCGUAACCAAGAUCAUCUUCGACCUUUUCCGCCGCUUCAUCAGCAAUGUGGUCUUCCAACGCGUCAACGCCCUCAGCCAAUGCCAGUCCACCCAGUAUCCCCCCUACAGCACCCACAGCCAAUCCCGUCCCCAUCCCGCCAAACUUACUCUUCUUUUUCUCCUCAACUUGACCGUAGUACCCUCCAGGUGGAGCAGCCCCGUACGCGCCGUAACUUGGCUGACCGUAAGCCCGGCAACCUUAACAUCGACUUUCCCGUGGGGCCUACCGGAUGGUCGCUUGAGCUUCAACGUGAGCGACGCGCGCUCGCCCAAUCCGACGUCGUUGAUGACAUCCUUCAGCUUGAGCUUAGCCGAGCCGAUCAGCUUCUUGGUGUCCUCCUCGUUGCCGGCGUGGACUACGUCGAUGAUGAGAGUGGUGUCGUCGUCGACGGGACCGGGCAGGGGGAUGGCGAGGGUCUCGUCCCAGUAAGGGCACGUGUCGCCCUCAUCGUCGACCUUGGUGGAGCAUUUCUUGUUUGGGUCGACCCAGAGGACGGCGUACGGCCUGUUGGGGCCGUGGCGCCAGUUGACGUUCUUGAGGUCCUUGGCGGAGGUGAUCGUCACUUCCACUUCGUAACGAGAAGCCAUCGGGAUUUUCUAGAAGAUAUAGAAAGACGGAAUGACUGUGUUGGAGGAAUAAUGUUAAGAGGCCGCGGGGUAUUUAUAUAACGUAAUAAAUGAAGCUUAGGGACUAAGAAUAGUGCCAUGUAUGGUAAUGUUGGUAUUGAUGGACGGGUGGCGGUUUCUUACUGGGGGAGGUGAGUUUUGAGAGCCAAUGGGAUGAAGGUUAGGCAGGCGUGCCUUGGGGAGUCAGCUUGGGGGAGGCGAGUUCAAGGGAAUGUGCAUCUGGCUUUUUCGUACGUAACGUCAUUGGGCAUUGGCGAGUGGGUCCAGCCACGCGGGACGCACACGGCAUUUGCAUUUUUUCGGCAUUUUUCAUGGCAGUGGGUGUGUGGUUUUCACCUUUCACCUUUUAGUUGGAUGGGGCUUAUCAAUAUGUAAAGCCCAUUGCACUUUUCAAAUUUCCUUUUGGGCUCCAUUCAAAAAAAUAUGAACAAAGAUAUCGUAGAAUUUUUUUAGAUUAUUAUGAGUAGUAAGAGUGACGUUUCAGUUUCCUUGGAGAAGAGUAACUAAAAAAAUAAAAAAAAACAUAUGAACAAAAAUAUUGUAGAAUUUCAUUAGAUUAUUAUGAGCAGUGAGAGUGAGGUGACGUGAUGGGCUCACGGCUAUGAACCGACUACAGAAUAUUAUAAACUCUUACUAAAGGCCCAAUUUUGCAUUAUUUGAGGCCCAGUUCUCGUUUGGCUUGCAGGCUCAUCGAAUUGACAACUCGUGUUAUGGCCAUCAUGAUCCAUUACUUGCGGCUUCCCCAUCGACUUUUGAAAUUAAGGGUCGUUUGGUAUAUUUUUUUUUUUUCAAUUGAUGUUUUUUAAACUCUUUUUAGAAAAGGAAAAUAAUGUUUUUGAUGUGAUAUCUUUAAAAAUAAAAAUAUGUUUGGUAGCUUAUUUUUAAUACAGCAUAUGACAAUGAAAACAACGAAAACAUGUUUAGUUGUUUGUCUUUCGAGACAGUGAAAGAGUGGAAAAAUUAUUUUAUUAAUUAAGAUUUUUUUAAUAAUGACAUUUUACUUUGUGAGUUUAUGCUAUAAUUAUCAAAAUUUGUGAUCCAUCAUAUGUGUAUUGGUAUUGUUCAUGUUGAUGUAUAUAUUUAUGUAUGUAUGUAUGUAUAUUUUUAAAAGACAUAAAAUUAAUAUAUUAUUAUCUUAUAAAUAUAUAGAUACAUACAUCGAUAUUUAUACGAAAGAGUGUAAGAUAGAAGAGUUAUAUUAUCUCAUGAUAAUUCUUAAACGUAACUUACCAUAAAAAAAUUAAAAUCAUUAAUUUAUUUUAAAACACAAAAUAAAAGUUAUGCUAAGUUACAUAAAAUCAAGUAAUUUACAUUAUUCAAGUUAAAAUAAUUUUUAUCUAGUAUGUAUCUAUUUAUUUUAGAGAAUCCAAAAUUAAUUAAUUUAGUGGCAUACAUUUUAUAUUAAUUUCGUCGUCGUAUGGAGGUAGUUUUCUUUUGCAUAAUAAAUGCAAUUUUGAUUAUCUAGAAUGAUAACUAAUAUAAAAGAAUCAAAGAAAAAAAAGGGUGUUCGAAAAAACUGUAGUCCUAUGAGAAGCCUUCGGUUUAUCACUUACAUUAAUAUAUUAUUAGAAAUAUAAAACUUAAAUAAAAUAUUAUAAAGCAUCAUUCAUUUGGUAAGUAACUUGAUAGCAUGUGUUGGACUAGUAGAAUAAUUCUAUCCCUUGUAGUGGGACUUGCGUAAAAUGAAUAUUGAAGAAUAGCAUAAAGUCUUUUCUUCUUUUCUUCACAAUUUCUCAUCGAAAAUCGUCGUAACAAUGCAGAAAUAAGGGCUGCCAAACAUAUUUUCUUAAUUUUUGUUUUUUUUUUAAACGAAAAACACUGAACAAAAAACGUUACCAAACAGGUCUUAAUCUUCCGAAGGAGUGACAAGACCCGACUAAACGCCCGGAAAGGCGGGAAAACAUAUGAGUCUAAAAAAUUGUCUUGUUUAAGUUGAAACCCAAUAUUUCAUGGUACACAUAUUACAUUGGUUUAAUGAUUUUAUAGUUCAAAAAAGUUCCAAAAGACAAAUUAAGUUAUUUUUCUUUUAUUCUAAAAAUAAACACCGCUAUUUAGAGUUAUUAUGCCUUGAUUAAGUUAUUUUUCUUCAAUAUUCUACGUAUUUGUAGAAUAUCCUAUAAACUUUUCUCUUGCAAGUACCAUGUCAAGAGAAGAGAUUUCAUGAGAAUAUUUAUUUAAUCUCUAAACGAUGAAGGAUUAGCCUCCUUUGGAUACAUCCAUACCCUUUUAUAUACAGUUGUUCAGCUAGUCGAAAUUGCCUCUUACGCUUCAGAUAAAAGUAAACACAAAUUAAAUAAACACUAUAAUAAUAACAAUAAUAAAACACAUAUACAAAUCCUUACCCUACAUAUCAACUCCUUCACUGAAAUUAUUUUUGUAUUUCUUAUAUAUAUCACAUUUAAAUUUGUACUCACAGUAUCAAUCAAUGUGCUUUUACGUAAAGCGCACGGUGCACAUAACACAGAAUCAUUAUUGCAUGCAUUUGCUCCCGAAAAUUAAUGUGAUGAUUAAAUUCAGAACACAACACCCACAUCUAGAUUCUUACACCAUAGCCUUGGGGUUUCACAAAUUCCCAGAACAAUAUAUUUAUAGCAAAAUUCAAAACAAUAAUCAAAUAAAAAGACGGAUCCAAUGAACACAAUAAACAAUCUUCAAUAUUGGAUCAUACUGUUUCCUAACCAAACACAUCCCCUUACCCCAACAAGAAAGCGAAAAUUGGGAAAACGAGCCCACAUGAUUCUUUAACCGUCUGUUCCCCAACCCAGUUGCUGCACUAAGACAAAAAUUAGGGACACAAGAUCUACUGAGGAAGCACAACAAAUCUAAAGUUCAUCGAACAAAAAUAUGGUGUCUGGCCUUUGUUUCUGUGUUGUCUGUUGUUGAUUUCUUGUAUUAUAUUUGUUGAAGUUACAUUUAUUUGACACUUGUAAUUCUUUCCAUUUUCAUCCGCAGUUUGUUCUUGCUGAUACAAUGAACCACUUUGUUCUUUCUUAAUGGAACGAAAUAAUCUUUCAUCCUCACGAGCAACAUUUUGUACGAAUGGAAAAGCAUUUAGAACAUGACACAUGAGUUUGACGUUAGAAAUAUUUUUUAGAUGGAAAAUUUCGUCUAAUGUUCUGCUAAUGCAUUGCCGUGUUUAUGACUUUAUACUUUUGCUUAAUUUUUAUUUUAGUUGUUACGAUUUAUAGAUAUAUACCAAUCUAGAAUCCGUUGAAAAUUUUAUUAAAUAUAUACACUCCGAGUAUAAUUUUGAAAUAUACGUUAAAUUGAAGGUGAGAUUUUUUAUCCGAACAUGUAGGGAGAUGUAUCUAUUUUUGGGAGAGACUACAAAAAUAGAUAAUGUUUAUAGCAAUUGCUAAGCUACUGCGGAUGUAACUUUAUGAAAACAAUAUUGAUAGAGCCACAACUAUAUUGUACAAAUAAGUGUGUACAAACUGACGUGGCAUGAGAAGAUUGGUUAUAUAAAAUCAUCAUGGUUUUACAAUAGAGUAAUGAUAUAGUCACAAAUUCUUGUACAAACUGAUGUGGCAUGAUAAGGUUGGUUGAAUUAAAUAUCACUUGGCCCACAUAAUUUUAUAUUUUCAUUUUGAAUUAAAUAUCACUUGGCCCACAUAAUUUAUUUUUAUUAUUUUAUAUUUUCAUUCAACCAAUGAAUUAAUGUCACGUCAUUUUGUACAAAAUAAAUUUAUACAAGAAUUUGUGUUUGUAUCAUUACUCUUUACAAUAAUUAAAAAAGUAAUUGUUAUCACUUUUCGGCCCUGUUUGGGAUUACUUUUGGGAGAGUUAAAAGUGAUUUUAAAAAUCUAAAAGUUAAUUUUAGUGUUUGGUAAAAAAAAACCAAAAUUACUUUUGCCAGAAUCAGCUCCUCCUACAGCUGAUUUUGAAAAGUAGAGAAUGAGUAACUUUUAGAUUCUGAUUUUGAGAAUCAAUUUUAUCAUUUAAUAUAAGUACAUAAAUAUCCUUACAAUUAUUACUUAAACCCGAAAUUAUCCUUAUUUAAAUUAGAAAUAAAAUUAAUAUUUUAAUAAUUUUUUAUUAUAAUUAACACACACCUUUCGUUUACCCUAUUUCUUCAUAUUUUGUGUUCUAUCAAAACUUCUCUAAUGCAACAAAGCAAGAUCCAGUACGUGUUCCAUCACCAUAUUCAAUAACAGUAAGUGAUUCAUCACCCUUUUCAUGCAUAUUCAAUGUAAUUUUUAUUAUAAUACAUGUACAUUUUUAUAUGUAUAAGUAAAUUUCAUCCUACAUUAUGUACAUUUUAGUCAUUUAUUUUCUUAUAGCAGUUUAACAAUAAGAUUUACCAAACACCCAUAAUUACUUUCAAAAUUCACAAUACUUUUGAAAAUAAAAUUUACCAAACACUUAACUGAUUCUCUUCACACCUGAUUAUUUGUACAGCACAACUAACAACAAUUAUUUUAAAAGCUGCAGUAUUACCAAACUCGCCCUUCAUCCAAUCUCUUCAUGCUGCAUAGUUUAUAUAUACUAAUUCGUACAAAACAGCUUGUGGCCUUAUCAUUAUUGUUAUGAAAAUAAUGCAAAAAAAUAAUAAUAAGUUAUGGGGCUGGCAUGUGUUUUAUUGAGGACUGUAACUUACAUAAGCAGUAACUUUGCAAGACCCCAUAUUUAUAUCAUUUACAAGGAACUCCAAAAUUAUGCCGUCUGCUCACUAGAUCAUCUGUCCCCUAGAUUUGCUUUUUCUUUUUUCCCCCCCUGAAAGUUCUCUGUAUUUAUUAAUUUAUUUGCAAUUUUACUGUUCGAAAUAGAGGGUAGUCUUGUUCCGGGGCAAUAAGGGGGACCAGGGCGUACAGUGGAGGCUUCACUGAGUGAGGUGGGAUUUGGCAUUUGCUGCCAAUGAAUAAAUACGAUGUUGCCUUGGAAAUUUUGCUUUGCUUGCUGAGUCUUCAAACUCAUUAAUGACUCCCAGCAGUCGUUUUCUCUUUUGAAAAUUUGAAACUUCAGAUUUUUCAAUCUCAAAUUUAUUAGUUUUCUUUCCUUCUUUUAUUGUCCUGUCCCCGACACCCCCUUAUCUCUCUAACACUGCAUAUAACUAAUCACUAUCAGUCUUUAUUGUAAUAAGAUAAAUUUUAUAUCUCUAGAAACAUCUUCAAGUCACACGUUUCUUAAUCUGAUGCGAGCGAUAUUAAUUUCAAACCAAAAUUCUGUUCUGGGUAUUUUAGAUAUGAAUUUAAUUGCAUGCUGAUUGCUGAUUUAUGAUACAUUAUUGUAUAUCAACCAGCAGUCGCAAUUGUAUAUUUUUGUGAACAAAAAGAAAAAAAAAUAGAUCAGGCUAUAAUUCAAAUCAAUAAAACUUAAUUACAGAAGCCUCAGGUUUUAUUAUUUGGGCUAAUUAAAAGUAUAAUAAUAACUGAGAGCGUUCAUGUGGUAAGGGAACUUUAUAGCAACUUCCAGGGUGUAACGGGGAGGCAAAUUGAAUAUUGAAAGUGGACGAUAAUAGGAUUGGUGGGCAGAGGGAGACUCAAAGACCAGAGAGAGCAUCUGCUUCUGUUUAUCUAUGACUGUGAAAGUGCUUUUUUAAUUCUUUUUUUCUCUCACUUUUGAAAUCAAAUUAAGACUUUAAACAAAAACUAACACAAUGCUUUCUUACCAUUCAAAAGUGCUUUUUCAAAAGCAAAAUGUUUGCCAGAAGAAUAGUGUUUUACUCUGAGAUCAUCAUAUGCUUGGUCAUUUACUUGCAGUCUUGAAGACUUGAACAAAAAGAAAAAGGUUUAAUUAAAGAAGCUUUGGCACAACUUUCACAGCUCUUUCUUAAAAAUAAAACCUGCUGGACUUUAGUAAGAAGCUCUCUUACUAGUUAGUUAAAUGUUAUUACAAGUAAUAACAAACCGAUCCUUGUAUUUUUCAUUUUUUGUCAGUUCUUUUUUCCUGCUCAUUUUGUAUCUAAAUAGGUCCCGUCCCAGUUCCCAGUUCCCAGUUCCAUCUCUUGAAAUGAACAAAUUAGCUUAUAAUAUUGAAAUCUUGACAAAUGCAUUGCAAGAGUAUGUAGACUGUCACCUAACUUAAAAGGGUUUUGCAACAACUUCAGAAUGAGUCAGGGAGCUAUAUAAUGCGAAUGAAAAAAAUUGUGUUCUGAAAAGAGAAAUCAUUAAAAGUUAGGGGCUUUUUGAUGUUAUUAACCAAUGUGUUUAUUAUCCACUUGAAAAAUGUGAUUGGAUCACUGAUCUCUUGAGUCUUUUUUUUUUUUAACUUUUUUCCCCCCUCCUCAAGAAAGACUAUUUAGUCUUCGCCUGGCGAAAAAGAGGUUUGGGGAACAACCACUCUACUUGGACAGAAAGGAAAAUUAGUUGGCUUUGGUUUUGAAGCCAAGGUAGCAAGUUUCUUUGAUGAAAUGAUGUGAUCAAUAGGCAAAAUGUUUUUUUUUUUUUUUCUUUCCUGAGAAAAAGCCAAUUUUAGCCCUCUCAGUCACAGACCAAGACCGAACCCAAAACCCUUCGAGAAAGUGAAUGGAAAGAGAAAAUAGAUUGCAAUCCUGUGAAGUCAUUUCAUUUCAGUUUCAGAAUCUGAAAUGAUAUCACACAUCUGAUAUGAUGAUCCGAACGGCUAGCUCGUACCCUUUCAAAGGUGACAUCAUUAUGAAUUGCGGAACUCAAUUUAGAAUAGUUAAAAGAAGAACCAAAGAUCCCGUAUCAGAAUUCCUUUCAAAUUUUUCAUAAUGACCCAUCAUCAAUAUACACAAGACAAUAACAAGUAACAACAACAGCAGCGACAAACAAGUGAUUCUAUUUCACUCAAUAUAUAGCCAUCAUCAUAACCAACCAAACGUGACCAGUAACAACAACACAACAACCCUACGCUAGCUUUUCUCUGUUUUCUUUUACAACAACAAAUUACGAAGCUGUCCUGUGCAACAAUGUUCCUUUUCCUGUCUAUAGAUUUCAAUUUCAUUGACAAACAGUUUCUUCUAUUUUUAUUUUCCCGCUUAAAUUCUUUCUUCAUUGGAUUUUCUUGCUGAUAUGAACUCUGAAGAUGAUGAAUCGCUGCUGAAUCUUGAAAACAGAGAUGAAUCUGGAAACAAAUGAAAGACAAAUGUCAACCUUGUUGAGCUAAACUACGAUAACAAAUAUAUUCAAAAUUUCGAGGCUAAUCUAUAUGCAGAAACAUGUAUAUAUACCUCUAGAAAACAAACUGCUGAAAGUCUCUUGCGAAGAACAACUUGUAGAUCUUGAUAAUGAAGAAGAAUCUGAUACAAAAAAUACAGAAAAUUGAAUCAAGACAAUUCAAGUUAACAACCCAAUUAACAAAAAAAUAAAUUAACUUGGUUAAACAUGCAACGAUUUAAUAAAAGAAAAGGAUUUGCUACCUCUAGAGUUGAAAGAGUUUUUGCAAUGAAGAAUGGCGCUUUGAAUCCCAUCAUGCUGAAGAAGCAACGAAUCAUCUCUUCUAGCCGGCGACAUAACUGCAGCAGCCGAAACCGAUUUGCUCUUGCUCAGAUGCUUAAACCCCGCCGGAAUAUUCCCUUUCUUCUCUUUCUUCGCCGGAGAUGCUGUCGGAGAAGAGGAAGAAGCCUCCGUUAGCUCCUCAGGAAACCCCGUCUUGCCAUUCUUCUUGGAAACUCUGACAUACAAUGGCUUGAUCAGCUUCAAGUAUUUCUGUAUCACAUCCUUUGAAAAUCUCUUUGAUGAUGAUGAUGAGGAGGAGGAGGAUGAGUCAGUAUGGAUGCUUUCUUUGUGUUUUGUUUUUCUCAGACUUGAAGCUCUAGUGAACAUUGAAAGAUUUGAAGCAUCUUCAACUCUGAACUUGAUUGUGAAGAGCUUGUUCUGUUUUCUUGUUGACUCUGUUUUCUCCAUUACCCCCGUUUUCUCUGUUUUGAGUGUUGCCAUAGAUUUGGGUUUCUUGAAUAUAGCCACCCGAAGCUUUGGAGCAGAUUUAAGCAGGGAGAUUGGAGACUGGGCUUUUAAACUUGAGCUUGAGCUGGGCUCGAUUGGCAAGAUCUUUCUUUUGGACAAGACAUCGGUGGGAGACAAAGAGGAAAGCGUCGCGGUCACUGUCUGUUGUUGGCUCUCUUUGCUGUUGGUGUUCUUUUUGUUGUCGCAAUCAGAAACAGUGAGCUCCAACUCAAAGAAUGAGUCAUCCCCUUCAUCCAACUCGCUCUCCGAACAAACCACAAGACUGGGAGCAGCUUCAACUUCCAUGGCGGUGGCGGCGGCGGUGGUGGUGUCAUUAUCUUCAUUAAGGGCUUGAUUUUCUUUCAUGGUGGGUCUCCAAAACUUGAGAAAGCUGAGAGUUUCCAUUGCGUCUGUUGAAGCUCGAAAGAGAGAAAAAGAGAGACUAAAUAGAAAUGGCUUCGGUUUCUUUUCCGGAAUAUUUUGGUGGGCUUUUAUAUUUGGUUUGAGAGAAAGAGAAAGAAAAAGAGUGAGGUUUUUGAGAAAUUUAAAGGGACAAAAAAGAAAGAAAGUACUUUUGCACUGCGUUUUAUGGUUGCGUAUUGCAGAACUGAAAAUGGUGUUUUCCAGGGGCUGCCGAGAGCCUGAUGAUGAAAUAUAAGCAGCUUUCUUUUUCUUAGGGAGCAAAUAUCAUUGGUAUCCCUCAAACUUUUUAUAAUAGCAAUUUGAACUCCACUGGAAUUUAGUGUUAUACAAAUAAUCCCUCCAACUUUUUGCACUGCGUUUUUUUGGCACUAACAAUGAGGACUAAAAGUUCAUAUUUUUGAAUUAAUGGAACUGGAACUGUUAUUAUGAAAGAGUAGGGGGUGUUGUUGUUUAGAUACUAAAAAGUAAAAAAGUAAUACGCCUGAUUAAAUUUGUACCCAGAGUUUGUUUUGUACGUUUGGUUUAGUCGUUGUAGUUUAGUUGGUCACAGACUGAACACGUGAAUAUCAAUGCAUUACACAUUUUUUACUUUUUUUUCUUUUUAUUUUUUUGAUUUGUGAGAGAGAGAGAGAGAGAGAGAGAGUCAGAUCAGAAUUCAAAGAAGAAAUAGGAGGAGAGGAGUGUGGCGUAUAGUCUAUAAAGCUGAGUCUCUCACUUAGACUACGUAUCCACACCCACCUUACGGAACGGAAGCCAGAGGGGGGCAGAGCUCUUCCUUCAGUCUUGUCUCAAUUGUGUAUUAUUAGACCCACGCGCACUUGUUUCUAUUUCUUUCAACACAUUUACGACCUUCAUUAUUAUUUUUUCUCAUCCUCCCAAUUAAAAAAAAUAAGAAACGCUCCCGAGGACGACAUUGUUCGCAUUAUAUUGAGUGAUAAUAUCAGCGAAUGACAUUAUUUCUGUUAUAUUGAGUGAUAUUGUCAAUUACUCAAUCACUUUGGUAUGGCGGUAGAUCGAGUUUGGUGAGUAUUGUUAUUCUUGAGAUCAACUUAAAAAAUAAAAAUAUGAAUACAAGUAAGAUAUUAAAAAUUUAAGUUAUCUAUAAUUAUAUGAGGUGGGAACGACUAAAGAUUGUCAUCUAUGAGUCUGAUUUAAAAAUAAUCUCAUCCUGAUUGAUUUUAAGGAUAAAAAUAAACCGUUCCUAUCUUCGAACUAGUCAUUGUCUUAUUAAUUGAUCUUUUGUUAACAAUUUACUGAAUUUGCUUAAUAAAUUAAUGGAACACGUCGCGAAAUGGAAGACAAAGUGAAGUACUUCUAAGUUCUAAAUAUUUUUAAGAGUUAAACAUAAGGAUUAAUGAGAACAUAAUGUGAGACACGUUAUGGAAUAUGAAAAUGCGAAUAUGAAAAUGCCAAAGUUUUCAUUUAACAAAGUUAUCGUCAAUUAUAUUGUUAUAUUAUUUUAUCUUUGAGUUCCCAUAGUCAUUGCACUAAUCAUUUAUAGACAAAAACCGAUUUUGACUUUUGUAGUGCAACGAUCAACAAUGUAACAAGUUAAGCAAACUCAUUAGGUCCUCUUUACUGUCUGCCAAAGAUGUCCAAACCAAAAUUAGAAUUUAGAAAGGAAAAAAAAAACAGAAUUGAGAAUCAAUUUAUUUUUUGGGAGCGCGUGAGAGGUGAGUUUUGGAAUCUAAAAUGAUAUCAAGUUAUGAAGUAUUUUUGGUGUAAAUGCAAAAGCCAUGAGAGGAGAGUGAUGAGAAACUUCCAAAAAGAGGUGAAAAAAAGAAAAACAAAAGAGAAAAAGGCCAAAAAGAAAAAGACUCAAAAAAAAAAGAAAAAGAGAGAGAGAGAGAGAGAGGAGACGCAAGGUAAGGUAAGGUCAUGUUAAUAAUAAUAAUAGAAACAGAGGGCACUUUUACUUUAUGGGCACAGUCUUAAAAAGAUCUGCUUAGCUCAGAAUAAAUUGGUUCUCUAACAAAGGCAAGAAAUUGGGGCAAUUGGCUUCACGCAUGACCCUAUGAGCUAUGAACCCUACUUUUUAAGGGCUUUAACUUCUUUAAAUUCUAGUAAAGAAGGACCGAGUCUCCCAUGCUGUUAAAAGGUUUGACUUGUAGCUGUGACUUGUGGAGUGAUUUUUUAUUUUUAUUUUAAAUUUUAAAUUUUUUUUUGUUUGUUGCCCCCUUUUGUUUCUUUUUCAAAAUGGUCCAAUUUUUGGGUAAGGGAAAGAAAGAUAAAUAGAAAGAUUCUAGCCCCGUUGCAUCAAAGGGCUAAGGUAGAAAAAAGAUUUUAAAAAAGGAGAUUCUUGUGGCUAUAUUUGAGUUUUAAUAAGAAAGAGGAAAAUUGGAUAGUGAUGAGUGAUGUUGAUAAUAAUUCUGGUUGUUGGUGGUUUUAGUUUUAAGAGAGAUUUAAAUAAAGUGGGCAUACAAAUUAUUUUUUGCGCCCACCCACGUAUAUAUACAUUUAUGUUAAAAGGGACCAAUGAUUGUGCAAUUAAAAUGUGUGAUUUCUAUUGAAUGUAUCUCGUCAAAAUUUCAAACGCAAGAUUUUAUUAUUUUAGUCACUUGUUUUGAUUUGGAGAAAACUACCAAGACCCCUUAUUUUUUUCCAAAAUUUGUACUAUCCACCCCAACUGUUUCAAAACAUACCAAAAACACCUGUGUCAAGGGGGAUUUUGGUAAGUGCUGAAACAAUAGAGUGAGAAGACAAAUUUUGAAGGAAUACAUAUAAAGGGGCUUGCUAGUUUUUCCUUUUGGUUUAUCUAUUGAAUCUUGAUAUGUGUAUGAUUCUAAAUUUCAUCAAGGCUUGUGCAAGCCAUGUAAAUAUGUAAUGAUGAUUUCACUUUGAUUUCAACGAAAUCUAAUUGGUCUCUUUCUUUUUUGUUUGCUUUUUCAAGAAUUAUUGUGAGAAUAAUCCAAAUGUCAUGCAAUUUUCUCUCUAGUUUUUCAUGUUUAUGGUGUGCACGUCGUUAAUCUUUAUGUAUUAUGCGCUCGUUCCUUCGCUUUUGUAUGAAUUUUUAGAUUAAUUAAUAGAAUUGAACCUAAAGAAAAAAAGAAAAAAGAAAACCAAGAAACUUGAACUGACCCAUCCAAUAAUAUAUAACGAUAUUCACAAUGAUGAUGUAUAUUACCGACAUUUAUUUUUGCACCUAUUGAAACUUUUCUAUUUAGACCGGCAACUUUGCAACAUCUUAUCUUAUUCUUAUCCCUCGACUUUGGAAUUAGAUACCAAUUUAAUUAAAGAACAAUUUUCUACUUUUCAUUUUUUUAAAUCAUGGAAGAAUGAUAAUUUUGUUCUUAUUUUUAUUUAUUGCUGUAUUUUUUCCCCUAAAAUCUUCACCCUUACAUUUAUUUCAUGCCACGUUAAUGUAUAUGAAUGGGUUAUAUAAAUAAUAUGUGUAUAUAAAUAAUAAAUGUAUGCAAUAUUUUUUUCCCCUAAAAAAUGAAUAAAACUCGUUGAUCAACUUAAAUUGAUACAAUUUGAAUUUAAAAAGAUACCAAUAUGACUUUGAAUUUAUAUACACAUAUAUUUACACGAAUGACACAAGUCUUAUACUUAAUAAUUUUUCAAUCAGAAAUUCUUGGUCAUUUUAAAAUAAAGGAUAACCUAAAGAAUGAAGAACCACAAACUUCGUAUUAUAUUAUAGUGUAUUGAAACCUAUAUACACUUUUUUUUAAAAAAAUCUAUAUACUUUAUCCUAACUUUAACACUUUUUAAUAUUGCUUGGGACCGUGGCAUUCAUUAUUUAAUUGCAGAGGUGGAUAGCCAAUGUGU
rnacentral:lncRNA from 1 species